UUAACCAUCACCCAUAAUAUUUUGAGCAUUCAGAAACACACCUAGCGAAGCGCACUAGCAACGACCUAACAACAAUGGCUUCCAAGACAUUAUCCCUCCUUGCGCUUCUUGCCCUUUUUGUGAGUGCAACAAAUGCGUUCAUUAUUCCACAAUGCUCACUUGCUCCGAGUGCCAUUAUUCCACAGUUCCUCCCUCCAGUUACUUCAAUGGGCUUCGAACACCCAGCUGUGCAAGCCUAUAGGCUACAACAAGCGCUUGCGGCGAGCGUCUUAGAACAACCAAUUGCCCAAUUACAACAACAAUCCUUAGCACAUCUAACCAUACAAACCAUCGCAACGCAGCAGCAACAAGCACUGAGCCACCUAGCCGUGGUGAACCCUAUCGCCUACUUGCAACAACAGCUGCUUGCAUCCAACCCACUUGCUUUGGCAAACGUAGCUGCAUACCAACAACAACAACAGUUGCAACAGUUUCUGCCAGCGCUCAGUCAACUAGCCAUGGUGAACCCUAUCGCCUACCUACAACAGCAACAACUUCUUUCAUCUAGCCCGCUCGCUAUGGGCAAUGCACCUACAUACCUGCAACAACAGUUGUUGCAACAACAGUUGCUGCAACAAAUUGUACCAGCUCUUACUCAGCUAGCUGUGGCAAACCCUGCUGCCUACUUGCAACAACUACUUCCAUUCAACCAACUGACUGUGUCGAACUCUGCUGCGUACCUACAACAGCGACAACAGUUACUUAAUCCACUAGCGGUGGCUAACCCAUUGGUCGCUGCCUUCCUACAGCAGCAACAAUUGCUGCCAUACAACCAGUUCUCUUUGAUGAACCCUGCCUUGUCGUGGCAGCAACCCAUCGUUGGUGGUGCCAUCUUUUAGAUUACAUAUGAGAUGUACUCGAUAAUGGUGCCCUCAUAGCGGCAUGUGUUUCCUAAAAAUAAUCAAUAUAUUGAUUGAGAUUUAUCUCGAUAUAUUUCUGAACUAUGUUCAUCAUAUAAAUAAUUGAAAACAUCAUAUCAUAAUUAUAAACUUAUGCUUGGUCAAUACAUAGACAAUACAAUAUUACUUCAUCAUCCCAAUGAUGUCCAAGCCAAACCUCUUGAAUGUUACUGUUUGGGUGUGUGCGGGUGUAUUUAUAAGAUAGAUGUGACUAUUUGCGCUUUUUGUUGAGUACACACAUAUAUGGUAUGUUGAUUUGAUAUAGUGAUGGACACAUGCUUUGACCAUGAAUAUUCAAAUCAGUUGUACUUGCACGAAGCAAAACAUAAUAUUAGUUUAGGAGUAAACUUAUAACUGCGUCCAAACAUGCUCACACAAAUUCAUACCACAUUAUAUUUUUUUGGUAAGUAUUCCACACAUGUAUUUUUUACAAGAACCCAAAUUUUGCACACAAAUGUAGCAUUCUAGAUAUGUAUAAUUCUUUGAAGCCCGUGAACUUAACAACAGCAAGGUCAUUAAAUCAAUUGGACCCUAUGAGUAAUAAUUUCGAUACGCAAACACCAAAUUAUGGAACUUAUUGGCUGAAAAAAUUAUGAUCAAUGUAAAGUUUAAAUUAUUAUACCAAAAAUAUAUCAAAGAACUUUUUUGAGGAACGUAAAAAUUGCAUGGAAUGGGCUGUCUAACGUGCUAGCUCACUUUUAUGCUAGGUAGCAUUACUAAAGAUGGGAAUGUUGCUGAUGAACGCCAAACCCACUCAAAUAAUAUUUAUAUUUGGGUUGUUUAGUUGUAAAAGUGAAGAUCCAAGAUUAAAAUACCAAUUGGCCAUUGUCAUUCGAUUGUUUUGUUUAGAGAGCACUUGGUGCGUCAUUUGGACUCGUAUCUUAGUCCAAUAGAUUGCAUUUUCCUUCAAUGUGUAGAAUCCGACAAAGUGCAUGUUCUAAAAUUGUAAAUCUAACUAAAUUAGAAAGCUUGUUACUAAUUCGAUGGUUUAUUAGUUGUAGCUCAUAAAACUAGAACCAACAUAGCCUGCACUCACAUGUCAUAGAAAAUAGGAGUAUCCAAGCACAAUUUGUGUGAGCAUCCAUGACACAAAUCAUAUAUAGACUGAUACAAUUAAUUCCUUCAAAAAUAAAAAAGGAAAAAAUAAAGUGUUUUUGGAUACUGUAGAAUAUCGAGCGAAGGGUGACGUCUUCACCUUCGCCCCAACAUUUGCCCUCCGAGGGACCAGUUCGACUAAGUCAUUUGGUGCCGAAGGUGUCGCUAGAUGGUGGAGACGCUGCCCUCGCUCGAAGUGGUUCCGCGGGGGUUUUUGACAUGACCGUUGAUUGACGCCACACUGUUGGAUUGCUGGCUUCCCGAAGCGUCGCGCCCUGUGUAUAUAAAGGGGGUGGGGGCGGCGGGGAUUGAAAUUUACCUUUCUGCGCGCCGCGAAAACCCUAGCCUCCCUGUCAAACUGCUCGCUUGCUCGUCUGCCCUCCUUGCUCCUGUUCGUCGGAGAACUGGCCCACGUGAAGCAGACUGUGCGCCGCCGUCGACGGUACGUAGCCAUGCCGUCUUCCUCCUCGUCUGCUGCGACCACGCCGACGGCCAAGGCGACUUCCGAAGAUCUCUCGGGCACUGUGGCGGCGGCGGAAUUACGACCGGGUGAUACGGUGGAAUUCGGUGUUUCGCGGAUGUCGUUGGUCCGCGUGCAAGAUAUGCAACAGUUGGUGUAUUUUGGCGGCGGGGUUGGUCGAGUCCCGGGGCCAGAGGAGGUCCCCGAGCUCGAGGGCGAAUUGGUUGUUUUUGAGGCAUUUUUCAUCGCCGGCCUUCGCCUGCCUGCGCAUCGUUUUAUGUCGGAGGUUCUGCAGAAGUUCAAAGUCCAGGUUCAUUAGCUCACACCGAACGCCGUGGUGGCGUUGGCGAAGUAUGUCUGGGCAACGACGUCGUAUGGCGGUCAGCCUUCGGUGGAAGUCUUCGCCAAGCAAUACGGUCUGCAUUGGCAGAAGAGAAAAAAUGGACAUAAGAUUGCUCAAUUCGGAUCAUGCACUUUCACGCCGAAGUCCGGGAAGACUUCGAUGGAAGUGGUGGAGCUGGUCCCCUGUGCCCAAAAUAAGUGGGGCAACUGGUGGGACUACUGGUUCUAUGUUUCGGAGGCUGAAGUCGAAGAUCACCCAGGGCUCCCUGCCGCCAUUAUGUGCUCUCAUUACUAUGUGGCAUACCCGCCAUUUGAAGUGGCGGAGGAUGAUGAAAAUGAAAGGGCCCUUCGGAUCGCUGCCCGCACGAGUAGUGGGCGCGAUCUAGUUGAGGAAUUCAUAGGGUAUGGGGUGUGGCCCUUGGCGCAUGGAUGGGCGUUGGGCAAAGUAUGCCCUCGCGAGAUGCCCUCCCUGGGCGGGCGGAAGGUGCGAAGUCCGCUUUUUGCUUUGGAUGUGCGAGGGCGGGAUCCUGCCGCGGUUGUGCAUGAGGCGGAGGAUGGGGCGGUGAGAAUUGUUGGGUGCUACGUGCCGAAGACGGAGGCCCAGCGGAGUUGGGAUAUACGUGGAUCCAACGACCGCCUGAAUAGGGUCUUCGAGUUGAAUUGUUUGCCGUAUGGCGGUUAUCCCGGGGAAGACGUUGUCGACCACAGCGGGAAAAAACCAGCGGCUGUGACUGAAGACGACCCCGCGUCGGAGGCCGCCCCAGCCACUAAGAAGAGGAAGCUAGGUACUGCGGUGGGAGAACUGGGGGUCUCCGAUAGUUUUGCUAUGGAGUUGAUGGGGACAUGCGUGGCCCCCGGGGGAAGGAUGUCUUCGCCCGAGCUCCGGGAGUCUUCGGCGCGGAUGUUGGAGGUUACCGGGGGUCGAUGGCCCAAAAACGUUCCUAUCCCCCGCGCGGCUGGCGAAGACUUCUUUACAUCUCGCAUGGCUCGUGACUUGAGAGUGUUUCCUUACAGACGGAAUAUUGCUGUUGUUGUGUCGAUAGUGAUGAACAAGGAUCACCAGGAUGCUGCGCAGAAGCGUCGGGCGGUCAUCAGGCUCCCCGACGCUAGGCGUGAAGCGAAGAGAGCGCGAGGGAGUGCGAAGGCUAUCGUCCCCGGCGGUAGCCAGCCGAUGCUGGCUGCAAAGCCGGCCGCGCCUGGAUCCAGCAAGGUGCCGGAGAGCGGGAAGGCGGUCGGCGCCGGUGGAACCAAGUCUGCCCCGGACGGAGCUGUGAAGGUCCGGGAGCUGCCUUCGACGGGGAAACGCGUUGCCGACUUCGGCAUGAAUAUUAGCGUGGACGACUAUCUCGUUGGUAAGCAUUUUUUUUAUUCUGACCGGUGAUACGUUGCAGGGUCGAGUGAGGGGCAACUGGUUGUUGUCCCACCUGUGGUGGCAACCACGGCGUCAACCGCGGUGCUUGGGGUGAAGGGUGGCGCUUUCAGCGCUGGCGGCGAGAUUUCGGCGGCCACUGCCGUCAAGGACGAAGCGGGCACUAUGUCCCGCCGGCUGAGGGAGGCGUCGCAGCAGCUAAGUCAAGUAAGUUGAGCUGGACUUCGGUGUUUCCUGCUUUCAUGGGGAUUGUGGUCUCAUGUGUGUCUGUUAGGCGGCCGACUUCGCCGACCGCGUGGCGUCGGGUGCCCUUACUGCAGAUGUGUCUGCCGAAGUCGAGAGACUUUGGGCGCAGCACGCGGACGCCGUCCGGGAGAAGUCGGCUGCGGAGAGCAAGAGCCACAGGCUGGCGGAGAAGGUGGCCGCCCUGGAGGGCGAGAGGAUGGACCUCCGGCGCCAGUUGGUGGAGGAAAGGAGGGAGGCCAACCAGGCCAUCGCCAAGGUGCAGGCGGCGCAGGCGGAGGCCAAAUUGGCGUGGGCGGAGGGGAGUCUCGCCAGCCAACGCGCCGAGGAAUGGGAGGUGCGGUUCAACGCUCUGCACGCCCGCAUGGAGAGGGCCGAGGCCUCUACGCGCUCGGAAGUUGAGCGAACGCGCAAACAGCUCGUGGACUCAUACCGGGAGCUGGGUGCGCGGACUGCUGACUUCGAGGUGCCCGACCGAGAAGCGAGCCUUCGCUUCCUCGAGUGGCUGCAAGAGGAAUUGCUGGCACUCCCGACCAUCGUGGAGGGAUUCAUGUCUUUUGCCUCCCUCGUCACCUGCGAAGGGGCCAUGAAUGCGUUGUCCCGCAAGGGAUGCAAUCACUAUGAGGGCUUCGACCGGUCCGAUGAAGACUUUGGGCGCGAAAUUUUUAAGGUCGAAGACCCUGUGGUGAAGGAUUCUGCGGGGGCCCUCUUCGAUCGGAUGUGGGGUCCUCAUGGCCGGGAGGCGGUCAAGGAGCGGUCUGAUCGGGCGAGAGAGCAUGUAAGUCUUGUCUGUUGUUUCGUGUGAUUGAAUGUGGGUACGUGUGGGUUUGCUGAAUGAGUGUGUUGUUGCUGCAGAUGGCGCAUGCUGAGGAUGUCAAAGACCUCGGAGGUCUAAACAGUGCGCCGCCCGAGGCUGCGGAGGGCAGACCGGUGCUGCCCUCGGAUGCUGGUGAACGCCCAUCGGACGUGCCCGUGCCUGCUGCUGUCGGCGAAGACCCUGUGUCGGCCCCUGUGCCGACAGUCAAAGGCGCUCAUGAGGUGGUGGCGGAGCCGGUGGUCGAAGGCCCUACGGCCGCGGAGGCGCCCGCGCAGGUGGCUAAGUAGUUGAAUAGGUUUAGGGGGGUUGUAAAUUUUGUCUACGUGUUACUGAACCUCGGUUGCUGCGCAGGUUCAGGGUUUUGGGCCUGCGUACGCAACCGCUACUGAAAGUGCUAAUUUUGUGGCGGCUUCGACCGUGGUUGCGGAAAAUGAUUCGGGUGAUUCUGUGUCUAAGUUUUUUGAGUCUGAUGAUUCUGUGAGUUCGGUGGUGUGGACUGAAGAGUCUUCGGAUGAGGACUUGGAUUAUUUUGCGGCAUUGGAUGUGGCUGCGGCGGAGGCUUCGCCGUGUGUGAUGGGUGCUGAGGUUCUCGGUCCGAGCGCUGGGCGUAGGCGGCAAAGGGCGGUGGCGAAGCGCGGAGUGAGUGAGGUGGAGGGUGGUCGUCUUCGUGUGGACAGGGCUGGUAGGCGGGAAUUGUUGUCCUUGCCAGAUGGGGCGAGUGUAGGUGAGGGGGAAUUGCGAAGUCUGUUUGAGGGUGAGGAGCUGAGGAUAAUGUUGUUUAACUAUAGGGAGAUGGGUAUCAUCCCGAAGGUUGAACCAUUGUAAGGUGUGAUGCCCUCGUUGUACGUAUGUAACUAUAAUUUGUAUGAUGAGGCUGUGUGCCUUAGCUGAUACGGUCGUGCCCGUAGGGGACUUGUGCACUAGGUCUAGCACGUUUAUUAUGUCGGUCCAGCUGCACCCUCAGGCGACUUUUGCACGGAUAGUCUUGGGAGGAAGACUUCGAUUUUUCGCACUUGUUGUGCUAGUCCGGCUGCACCCUUAGGCGACUUUUGCACGGAUAGUCUUUUGGAGAAGACUUCGAUUUUGCGCACUUGUUGUGCUAGUCUGGCUGCACACUUAGGCGACUUUUGCAUAGACAAUAUUUUGGGGAAGACUGGUUUUGCGCACUUUUUGUGCUAGUCCGGCUGCACCAUUAGGCGACUUUUGCACGGAUAGUCUUUUGGGGAAGACAUGUUUUGCGCACUUGUUGUGCUAGUCCGGCUGCGCCCUUAGGCGACUUUUGCGCGGACUGUCGCACGUGAGGGUAGCCAGCGCUGCCCCUCGCGGUGACUUCGUGUUUGUCGAAUGUCGAAGACUGUCGAUGCGGUCUUCUUUCGACGUUGUAAUUUUUUGCGGGGGAUUUUUUGCGUGUAUAUUACAUGGCUCCACCUCAUUAAAAACCUCACCCCCCGGUAGGAAAAGAGUGCGGGCCGGAAUAAAAACUGUCUUGCGAAUUACAAGGGUGAGCUGGCCCUAAGGAGUCAAACAAAAAACUUGCGAAGAUUGUCAAUGUUCCAAGAAUGUUCAAAGUCUUCGCCAGAUGGCGUUGUGAGCCUGUACGCGCUGGGGGACGCCUUCGUCUUGACAAUGAAAGGGCCCUCCCAUUUUUGCUCUAGCCUGCCCCGGGACUCUGUCCGAGUUGUCCGGACGAGUACGAGGUCUCCUUCGCUAAAUUCCCUCGGGAUGACUGUGUGGUCGCGCCAUGCUUUUGUUUGAGCUUGGUAUUUGUUUAGAGCCUGUAGGGAGAAGACACGGUCUCCGUCGAUGAGGUCCUUCGAAGUAGGUUCGUCUACGUCGGGGACGGCUGACGCGACUGUCCGCAGUGACCCAUGUUUUAUUUCUUGCGGAGUCAUGGCCUCCGAUCCAUAUAGAAGGCGGAAAGGGGUGAACCCAGUCGCCCUGAACUCAGUCGUGUUCAGCGCCCAGACCGCUUUAGGUAACAGGUCUGCCCACUUUCCUUUUUUGUCGUCGAGGAGCAUUUUCUUGAUGGCUGUGAAAAUUUUACCGUUGGCGCGUUCCACAACUCCGUUGGAUUGCGGGUGGUACACUGAGGCGAAGGCAAGCUUGGUGCCGAUGGAGAAGCAGAAAUCCUUGAAGUCUUGGCUGUCAAAUUGCUUGCCAUUGUCAGCUGUGAGUUCGGACGGGACUCCGAAGCGGCAAACAAUGUUUUGCCAGAAGAAUUUCUGGGCAGUCUUCGAUGUUAUCGUGGAUACAGUCCUCGCCUCGAUCCAUUUGGUAAAAUACUCGACGGCGACGAAGGUCAACUUGAGGUUCCCCUAGGCCGUGGGUAGGGGCCCGACAAUGUCCAGGCCCCAGCGCUGAAGAGGCCACGUGUGGGCGAUUAGCUUUGUGAAUUGCGAAGGGCUUCCCGAGCGUGGAGAAAAUUUCUGGCAGGCUUCGCAGGACCUUGUGACCCGAUUUGCAGCGCAGAUCAUGGCGGGCCAGUAGAAACCUUGAUGGAUCACCUUUGCGGCUAGGGCCCUGGGCCCUGCGUGAGAGCCGCAAGUCCCGCUGUGGACUUCGCGCAGAAUUUGGACGCCUUCGGUCUCGGUGACACAUUUAAGCAUGGGUUGACUGACCCCCUUUUUGUAAAGUUGGCCUUCGAUUAGUGCGAAGUCCCGGCUUCGAUGUUUGAGGCACUUGGCCUCAUUGAUAUCGGUUGGAUGAUAGUACCCCUGCAGGAAUAGGGUUAUUGGUGCCCGCCAGUCUUCGGUCAUGAUGAGGUUGACUAUGCGGUGGCCCUCGCUGUCAUUGGUUAUUUGGAGCCCCUCUGGGCUGCGGAAGGCUGGCGUGCCAAUGACAUGGUAGAAUACAUCGGAGGGCAGGGCCUCGCCUCUGGCGGCUGCCUUGGCUAAUGCGUCGGCCUCCUCAUUCUUGGCUCGGUCCACAUGCUGUAAGGUAAAACCUUUGAAUUGUCUUUCGAGACUGCGGAUAGUCGCGAGGUACUGCAUAAGUGUGGGGUCCUUCGUUGUGUAGUCUUUCUCGACUUGGCCGACGACUAUCUUGGAGUCUGUUCUGAUGAUGCAGGUGGUGACACCAAGUGGCCUUAGCUUGCGAAGGCCGAGAAUGAUAGCUUCGUAUUCUGCUAUAUUGUUAGUGCAUCUGUCAGACUCCAAAGCAAAGCUGAGGCGUGCUGCGUAUCUGUGCUUGACCCCUGUGGGUGACGUAAUGACUACAGCGGUGCCUGCCCCCGCAUGGCACCAUGCGUCGUCGCAAUGGAUUGUCCAUACCCUCUCCGCGGACGUGUCCGGCUGUGUUAUUGGCCCAGUCCAGUCGACGACGAAGUCUGCCAGGACUUGUGACUUGAUGGCUGUCCUGGGUUUGAAUGUGAUGUGUUAGCCGGAGAGUUCGGCUGCCCAUUUGGCAAUCCGGACUGAUGCCUUCGGGUUUCUAAACAAUUCGCUGAGUCCCCUAUCUGAGGUGACCCGGACCUUGAACGCUUCAAAAUAAUGGCGCAAUUUGCACGAAGCCAUAACAACUGCGUAGGCGAUUUUUUCCAGUUCCGUCAUAUUGCAUUUUGAUGUCGUGAGUACUUCGGAGACGUAAUAAACUGGACAUUGCCUGAACGAGCCCUCUCUAUUCCGCUCUUAGACCAGUGAUGCGCUGACCGCAUGCGGCGAAGCUGCGAUGUAGAGCAACAGUGGUAGCGAGGGGUCUGGGCUUGUAAGAAUCGCCAAUUCUGACAGAUACUGCUUCAAAGAGGCGAAGGCCGCCGCCUGCUCUGGUCCCCAUGCGAAGUCUUUUGCGCCGCGGAGUGUUUUGAGGAAAGGGAGACUUCGCUCUGCGGAUUUGGAGAUGAAUCUGUUGAGGGCGUCCAAUCUGCCUAUUAGUCGUUGGACGUCUCUGGCUGACUGUGGGGCGUCAUGUUGAUGAUGUCCUGAAUUUUGGUUGGAUUGGCUUCGAUCCCAUGGUGCGACACCGUGUAGCCCAAUAUUUUCCCCUAGCGAACGCCGAAGACGCACUUUUCGGGGUUUAGGCGAAGUCGUGCGUCCCGCAUGUUCGCAAAUGUUUCGGUGAGGUCAGCCAGAUGGUCUUCCUUGCUUCUGCUGGCGACGACGAUGUCGUCCACAUACGUAAAUAUGUUUCUGCCGACUUGGCCCUCGAGCACUGUUUUGGUGAGCCGAGAGAAAGUGGACCCGGCGUUCUUAAGUCCCUCCGGCAUUCUGAUGGUAUUAUUAAUUCAAUCUGAUAUAACCAUCAGAUCUUAAGUAUUUAAUUAAUCUAGAGCGUACAUUAGAUUAUCAAACCAAAUCAACCUGACAUAACCAUCGAAUGUUCCGCUAUGCACCUUAAGCGCAUGGUCUGGGGCUUAAUCAUCCGAAUAACCAUCCGAUCUUCUGGUAAGCAUAGUAAGCGUAUGGUUCACGACUUCGUCAUCCGGAAUAACCAUCAGAUUUUCCAGUAAGCACUGAAAGCAAAUGAUCCGGGGUUUUGUAGGGGAAAUGUUGUUAGGUGAAUGCGGAUGCUGGCUGAUGUUGCACGUGCGAACUGUUGUGUGGAAGCUGCUAGGUCCUCCUCUAUUGUGCGUGGCUUGUGGCGGGCUUGGACUUCUCUCAUGGCUUUGGCGCUUGGAACUGUUCGUCCGUUCGGUCCUGCGUGCAUCUCUCUCUCCUGGCUGGAGGCGUGGUGGCCUGGUGGCUUCUCUGUGUUUUUCUUUUUACGACAGCUUCUCGUGUUGGCUAGGGUUGGUGUCAGGGGCCCGGUCAACUAUGCUCCCUCAGCUUUUAUAGGCAGAGCACCACAGCAGGCAGAGCAGAGAUAAAGAUUCCAACUGCAUCCAUCUACAAACAAGGCUCUCAGCGGAAGGGAUAAAAGCAUGCAGCGCAAUUGCUGCUACCGUGCUGCAGCCUUGACUCUCGUCAAUUGGAUGACCAAAAGAUGCCACCGUCUAAAGUCUUUUCUUUGUGCAGCUGCCUGUUUGUCACCAACACAAAAUUGUAGGUGCCUGUUUGUCACCAAUUAUCCUCUACCACAAAGAACUACAAUAGUGAUGGAGGAUCCGAUCCUGCAUAGAUCCACGAUAAUGCAUAGUGGGUGAUGCAUGCCUAAUGGUGGUUGUUUAGUGUUAGUUUUGGCAUGUUGGAACUAAGCAAUUGUCGAUGCCAUACGCUAGAAGUGAAGAAUGUUGUUAGCGUUAGGAGUAGAGGUGUCAAUGGGGUCUGAUACCCGUUAAGCCAUGGAGAAUUUCUCUAUUAGAUUUAGGGUAUGGGAAGAUUUUACUUUCCAUUUGUUGAAGUUAGGUAUACAUCUAUUUGAAUCAACAGUUACAGUUCAAUAGAAACUUCUUCCGCUCUAGUUUGUUGCGUGUCCUACCUUUUUCCUAAACUAGUUUUCCCUAAAUUGACAUACUCUCUAGAAAAUCUAUCCAAAUUUUGAAGAUCAAAUAUGUUCGAUUGAAUUAUUCAUGACAUAUAUCUUGGUAUUGCUUUUUUGUCAUCAGAAUAUAUUUUGAACUCAGUAAAAGUUAUACACGAUUUUUUUUAGACAAUACUAAAGCAAGUUGUAAUCAAGAACACUUGAGGUGUGCGCCAAUUGCCACAUUUAGAUAUAAUCAUUCUAAUUUUGGUCGUCCUAUGUGUGUGCAUUCAUCUAUGCAUUCUAGGAUUUCAAUUAGUUUCAAUCUUGUAGUAUUGGUUCCUUCAUUGUCAAAUCACUUCUCAUCUAACUACUAUGCUUGUUUAACCAUCAGAACAUAACUACAACAAUAUCCAUUUAUAAACGUUUUGAUAGCAAACUUUACAUAUUCAUAUCAUGUUAAGGUUGUCACAUGUGUAAAGGUGAAGAGAUCAUGCAUGUCAUUCCACGUAGAUGAAAAGAAUUCCUAUAUAAAAUGACACCUUUUCUUGUAGGUAGUGGAAAGUAUCUUUCCAGCAAAUACCAUAUAAUCCGAUAAAGCGGAUAACUAAAUGUCGAAAUCGAGUAGAUGCCAUAUCAUCUAUACCUUAUCUGUUGUUUGGAAAAAAGACAAAAUCCAAAAAAUAUAUUUGAGACCUCACCUGUAUAAAUAGCUCCCAAAUCAGUAGUUAAUCCAUCACCCAUAAUAUUUUGAGCAUUCAGAAACACACCAAGCGAAGCUACCUAGCAACGACUUAACAACAAUGGCUACCAAGAUAUUAGCCCUCCUUGCGCUUCUUGCCCUUUUUGUGAGCGCAACAAAUGCGUUCAUUAUUCCACAAUGCUCACUUGCUCCUAGUGCCAUUAUACCACAGUUCCUCCGACCAGUUACUUCAAUGGGCUUCGAACACCUAGCUGUGCAAGCCUACAAGCUACAACAAGCGCUUGCGGCGAGCGUCUUACAACAACCAAUUAACCAAUUGCAACAACAAUCCUUGGCACAUCUAACCAUACAAACCAUCGCAACACAACAGCAACAACAGUUCCUACCAGCACUGAGCCAACUAGAUGUGGUGAACCCUGUCGCCUACUUGCAACAGCAGGUGCUUGCAUCCAACCCACUUGCUCUGGCAAACGUAGCUGCAUACCAACAACAACAACAAUUGCAACAGUUUCUGCCAGCGCUCAGUCAACUAGCCAUGGUGAACCCUGCCGCCUACCUACAACAGCAACAACUGCUUUCAUCUAGCCCUCUCGUUGUGGGUAAUGCACCUACAUACCUGCAACAACAAUUGCUGCAACAGAUUGUACCAGCUCUGACUCAGCUAGCUGUGGCAAACCCUGCUGCCUACUUGCAACAGCUGCUUCCAUUCAACCAACUGACUGUGUCGAACUCUGCUGCGUACCUACAACAGCGACAACAGUUACUUAAUCCACUAGCAGUGCCUAACCCAUUGGUCACUGCCUUCCUACAGCAGCAACAAUUGCUACCAUACAGCCAGUUCUCUUUGAUGAACCCUGCCUUGUCGUGGCAGCAACCCAUCGUUGGAGGUGCCAUCUUUUAGAUUACAUAUGAGAUGUAAUCGAUAAUGGUGCCCUCAUACCGGCAUGUGUUUCCUAGAAAUAAUCAAUAUAUUGAUUGACAUUUAUCUCGAUAUAUUUUUGAACUAUGUUCAUCAAAUAAAUAAUUGAAAACAUCAAAUCGUAAUUAUAAACUCAUGCUUGGUCAAUACAUAGACAAUACAAUAUUACUUCAUCAUCCCAAUGAUGUCCUAGCCCAACCUCUUGAAUGUUAUUGUUUGGGUGUGUGAGGGUGUAUAUAUAAGAUAGAUGUGACUAUUUGCGCUUUUUGUUGAGUACAUACAUAUAUGGUAUGUUGAUUUGAUAUAGUGAUGGACACAUGCUUUGACCAUGAAUAUUCAAAUCAGUUGUACUUGCACGAAGCAAAACAUAAUAUAAGUUUAGGAGUAAACUUAUAACUGUGUCCAAACAUGCUCACACAAAUUCAUACCACAUUAUAAUUUUUUGGUAAAUAUUCCACACAUGUAUUUUUUACAAGAAACUAAAUUUUGCACACAAAUGUAGCAUUGUAGACAUGUAUAAUUCUAUGAACCCGUGAACUUAACAACACCAAGGUCAUUAAAUCAACUGGACCCUAUGAGUAACAAUUUCGAUAUGGCAAACACCAAAUUAUUGAACUUAUUGGCUGAAAAUUAUGACCAACGUAAAGUUUAAAUUAUUAUACGAUAAAUAUAUCAAAGAAUUUUUUUUGAGGGACGUAAAAAUUGCAUGGAAUCGGCUGCCUAACGUGCUAGCUCACUUUUAUGCUAGGUAGCAUUACUAAAGAUGGGAAUGUUGCUGAUGAACGCCAAACCCACUCAAAUAAUAUUUAUAUUUGGGUUGUUUAGUUGUAAAAGUGAAGAACCAAGAUUAAAGUACCAAUUGGCCAAUGCCAUUCGAUUGUUUUGUUCAGAGAGCACUUGGUGCGUCACUUGGACUCGUAUCUUAGUCCAAUAGAUUGCAUUUUCCUUCAAUGUGUAGAAUCCGACAAAGUGCAUGUUCUAAAAUUGUAAAUCUAACUAAAUUAGAAAGCUUGUUACUAAUUCGAUGGUUUAUUAGGUGUAGGUCAUAAAACUAGAACCAACAUAGCCUGCACUCACAUGUCAUAGAAAAUAGAAGUAUGCAAGCACAAUUUAUGUGAGCAUCUAUGACACAAAUCAUAUGUUGACUGAUACAAUUAAUUCCUUCAAAAAUUAAAAAGGAAACCCAUAAAGUGUUUUUUAUACUGCUGGAUAUCUUCUUUAGCUAAUCAUGAGUACUAAAAGUAUGUUGCACUUUUGGGUGGGGAGAAUUCCCCAUUCAUAACUUUGACAUAAUUUUAAUUCAGAUCACAUAUAUAUAUCAUAUCUUAAUUAUUAUAUUAAUAUGGUAUGCAUCAUUGGAUUAUUAAAUCAAUUCGGUAUAACCAUCGGAUCUUAAUUAAUAAAUUAAUCUAAAGCGUACAUCAGAUUAUCAAACCAAAUCAACCCGACAUAACCCUCGAAUGUUCCGCUAUGCACCGUAAGUGCUUUGUCUGGGGCUUAAUCAUCCGGAAUAACCAUCCGAUCUUCCGGUAAGCACAAUAAGCGUAUGGUUCGGGGCUUCGUCAUCCGGAAUAACCAUCAGAUUUUCUGGUAUGCACUGAAAGCCUAUGAUCCGGUGUUUUGAUAGGCGAAACGUUGUUAGGUGAUUGUGAAUGCUAGCUGUAACUGUGUUUGGAUCUGCUGAGUGGAAGCUGCUGGGUCCUCCUCUACUGCGUGUGGCUUGUGGCGGGCUUGGACUGCUCUCAUGGCUUCGGCGCUUGGAGUUACUCGUCCGUCUGGUCAUGCGUGCGUCUCUCUCUCCUGGCUAGAGGCGUGGUGGCCUGGCGGCUUCUCUAUGUUUUUCUUUUUGUAGCGGCUGCUUGUGUUAGCUAGGGUUGGCGUCAGGGGCCCGGUCAGCUAUGCUCCCUCAGCUUUUAUAGGCAGCGCAGCACAGUAGGCAGAGCAGAGAUAAAGAUUCCAACUGAUCGAAUCCAUCUACAAACUAAGCUCUCGGAGGAAGGGGUAAAAGCAUGCAGCGCAAUUGCUUUUAUGUGUGACGGAUAUGUUUGACAGUUCUUCAACUGUGUUUGAUUUGGAACUAUAUCAUUGUUGAUGUCAAAGGCUAUGUUAAUGUCGAACUAUGAUGAUAUUAUGUGAAUGUUGAACUAUGAAGAUUUUAUGUGUGAUGCAUGUUGGAACUAUAUGUUGAUGUUAAAGACUUGUUGCGAUGUGUUUGUGAAUGUGAGUUGAUAUUUGAGAAUGUGAAUGCGAACGUGAAUUGAUGUUUGUGAAUGUAAUUGUGAAUGUGAAAGUGUGGUAAUUGCCGACGACUCUUUUGCGGCCGUCGGACAUAAGCUAUUUCUGACGGCCCGUCAGAAAUAACCUUAUUUCCGACCCGUUGCGAUCGAGGGACACAGGUGUCGUCGGACAUAAGACUUUGUCCGUCGGAUCUGAUGGUUUAGGAUUUAUUUCCGACGGCUUUGGCCGUCGAAAAUUUUAUCUUUUACUGUUGUGGGGUCCACAUGAACCUUAUCAAUUGUCACCGCCAUCUACCCCCACCUUUCGCUGUCUCGCGGUCCAUUUGCACGCCCUAAACGUGGUGUGACUUUUCAUGAGAGAAUUGGGAGCGACGACUAUGUAGUAGCUCGAACCUGCUAACGAAUUAUAUAUAUAAUCAUAUGGUAUCCACAACUUUUUUAUUCUUUGCGAAAUUGUACCCAGAACUUAACGCGCCCAUUUCGUUUCCGCUUUUAGAGAGACCUCUCUUGACUAGCUAGUGUUCAUACUUCACUUCAUAGUUCAUAGUGCAUAGCACUAUACAGCAGUCUUCCUCUUCUAAGCAGCCAUGGCUAGCACGACCUCUACAGCAGUCCUCCUCGUCUCAACCGCCAUCCUCGUCGCCGCAGCGACCUACUUCCGCCACGGCACGCUCAGCGGCGGCGGCGGCACCGCCGGAACGCACCUCCAUUUCUUCAUGCACGACCAGUACACCGGCGCGAACCCGACGGCCGCGCUCAUCGUGCCCGGAAGGCCGCCGCUCUCCAACGCCACCGCCACCGCCACCGCCACCGGCAGCGGCGAUGACGACGAGCACCCGCGCCGGUUCGGCGACAUCGCCGUGAUGAACAACGCGCUCACGGAGGGGCCCGGGCGCGGCAGCGCGCGCGUCGGCACCGCGCAGGGGUUCACGGUGCGCGUGGCGGAGCGCGGCUCCGUCAACGCGCUGAGCAUGCACCUGGUGCUGGAGGCCGGGGAGCACGCGGGCAGCUCGCUGGUGGUCAGCGGCAGGGUCGACACCGACCUGGCCGUGCGCGAGUCGGUGGUCGUCGGCGGCACCGGCCGGUUCCGCCUCGCGCGGGGCUACGCGCUCAGCAGGAGCUACGACUACGACCUGGCCAAGGGAGGCGUCGUGGAGGUCGAUGUGUACCUGCAGUAGGUUCGCAUGGCAUAUUGGCAUGCAUCGCUCGUUCCUUACCUCUGUACUGCUAUUUGAUCGGUUUUUAUGUUCACUAUCCUGCAGUUUCCCAGAUUUCAAAUUUAUGUUUACAAGAACUGGGACUAGCUAUGAGCUGAAAACUUGGUCCAGUAAUAACAAGGACUUUGGUUUGGCUAUACUUGGUUUUGUAUGUUUCUUUCGUGGGUGUACUGUAAAUUAAUCCUGUUUCACGGCCGUUUAAGGUAAGGUUUUUCUUUUGUUUUACUGUAAAUUUUCAUUAUAAAAACAGAACGAAAAGAUUCAUUUGUGAAUAUGAACACUUAUCCUAGCUAGCGAUUCUUAGCCAACUCCGGGAGACGCGGGCCAGAAAGCAAACUGAUGAUAGGUGAAGUUGAAGGUACAAACCAGUAAUGAUGAUAGGUGAAGUUGUAAGGGGCUCUAUUCUAAAACUAAUAUUUAGAAGCUAAAAUCAGCUGAGAGAUUUAGAACAAAUCAGCUAGUUAAUAGACUAGCUAAUUGUUAGUUAUACCCUCUCAAUCCAUCUAAUAACUUAUUAGCUGAUUAACAAUUAGUUUUAGAGGUUUGAAAUAUGACCUUAUUCUACUAGCUCCAUCUACAUGUUACUAUGAAAAGUCAUGAAUUCACAAGACGUUUUCGAAAACAAUUUCAGCUCCACUUGUAAAGUUGAUUGUGCGGCUGAAGCCAAGAAAACAUUAGAGGACAAACAAUAACUUACUAUGCUUUUCGUGAACUGUUUCAGGCCAGCAGUAAUAAUUAUUGGUCCUACAUGCAUUAAUGGUUAAGCCGCUAGCUUGCCAAGACGGAGCAUUAAUUAGGAGAUAAGACCUAGCGUUUCAUUGCAUCCCCAUGAAAGGGAUACUAUCACUAGUUCACUACUGCAUGAAUAAUUUUCAAAUGUAGUUAAAAACUGAUAUUGAAAUGUAGGUAAUCUGUCCACCUAUGUGAAAUGUUUAACAGAGGCAGCCACUCUAGGAUGUUGCCCUCGAUCUAUUAAUUACUGAUAGAUGCAGCCAUCCAACUCUAGCCACCUGUUGGCGUCUUUUUGGCCAAAUACUGAUGAACCCUAGAGUCUACAAGCGACGUGCAGUGCGUUGAGUUCCUAUCUACGAGCUGAUGGACUGUUCGGCCCUAGUGGUCGGACUACUGUCCGCGGUUGGCAGGCAGACUAUUCGCAGCGGACUGUACCUAGAUCCCACCUCCCCGAAGUGACCCUAUCGGGAAGGAGGGAUUAUAGAAUUGCUUUGGGAUCGGCAGACCAUCUAAAAGCACAUCAAGUUAAGGUAGAGACGAAGAUUGGAGAUUGGGAAGCUACAAUUAGGGCUAAACUAUGUCUAAUCUAAGAACAUGAAUGUAAAUAAGGUAAAACUAUUAUUUGGGUUCGAUUGAUUGUUGUUCCAAUCGGCCAUAACCCCUAAUAGGGGGAGGUCUAGACCCUUUCCUAGGUAGAGUCCAACAAAAUCCAUGAAUAAUCGAUUGAAUCUCGCAAAAAAUCAUGACCCGAACAUGUUUUGAUCUAUUCCCAAAUUGGUUGGGCUAACACACUAGACUAUCUUGCGCCGAACAGUCUGGGCUUCUACGCCAGACAGUCUAGAGGGUGCCAGUUUAGGUUCUCAACACAUGCCCCCAACCUUUUUGGCGGAGUUUUACGAGACAAAAGCACCUAGCACACCUUGUAUACUUCGACAAUUAAGACAUGCACAUGUCAAUUCAUAUUAUUCCGAAGUAAAGACUCAAUGUGAAAACAUCGACCUUCUAGGUGUCUUGCUAAACACUAGGAUAGUAUCGUUUUAACAAACGACCAUUUAAUGCUUUAGUUAGCUUCUCACCUUGCAAAGUCUCCAAUAUAUAUGCAUUACCAGAAAUUACCUAUACAAUCGUAUAAGGCCCUUUCGAACUUGGGGACCAUUUGCCAAACUUUCGAUCUUUGGUCUUUAAUGGCAAGAAUGUCUUCCAUAACAAAUCUCUAUCUUGAAAUUAUUUAGCCUUUACCUUCUUAUUGUAGGCCUUGGCAACUGCAAGUUUGUCCUUUUCUAUCUCCUUUAGAGCUAUCAACCUUUUACCGAUUACAUCAUCAAUAUUAUCCAUCAUUAGGUUAUGAUAUUCACCUAUUGCUAAGUCAUUUUAUUUUGUGAACAUAAUGGCAUUCAAACUUAUCUCCAAAGGCAAAAGAACUUCCUGGCCGUAUACAAGCUCGGAAGGAGUCACCUUAGUAGCAUUGUGCUUAGAUAUCCUAUGAGCCCAUAAAGCUUCGGAUAAAACCUUAUGUCAAUGUCUAGGAUAAUUAAAUAUCUUCUUUUUUAUAAGGCUAAUCAAUAUCUUAUUACUUGACUCGGGCUGAGCAUAGUAUGAAGAUGAAUUGUGCAACUUAAUCUUAAAAGAUUUAACAAUUUCAUGCACCUUUUUGUCGGACAUAAAAGAAGUUCCCUGGACCAUAGUUAAAGUUUGUGAAAUACCAAAUCUAAGAAUAACAUGUUCAGUUAUAAACUCAAUUACCUCCUAGUGUUUCAUUUUUCCAAAACAAAGGCUUCAGUCCAUUUAGGGCCCGUUCGGUUGUUAUGGAAUGGAGUACCGGAACUGUUUCAAGCCGGAUUGCUUCUCUAAUUUGUAUAAGUUUUGAUCAACAGGAAUAAUUCUUGGUGCGUUUCUGCAGAAACGAACAGGCCCUUAGUGAAGUAGUUUCACUACCGGAAUCCGAGCCUUUGCCGAGUGCCGGCCGCUUUGCCGAGUGCCUUUUCUCGGGCACUCGGCAAAUACGGCUUUGCCGAGUGGCGCACUCGGCAAAGCUCGGCUCUCGGUAACGAGCGUCUUUACCGAGCGUAGGACACUCGGUACAGGUCCACACUCGGUAAAUCCAUGUUUGCCGAGUGUCAAACACUCGGCACAUGGGGCUCUCGGCAAAGAGCCGUCAGCGGCCGUCCUAAAGCUGACGGCCGUCAGUCUUUGCCGAGCGCCAACGGUUGGCACUCGGCAAAGAGUCUUCUUUGCCGAGUGUCGCCCAGUUGACGCUCGGCAAAGAACUCUUUGCCGAGUGCCAUCCCUAGACACUCGGCAAAGUAUAUUUUUAUUUCUUUUAUUUUGUCUCCCAAACUUUUUGUGGUAUGUUCCUACACUAUGUAGACCUACAUGUAUCAUUUGUGGACAAUUUUAACAGAGUUUCAAUCGUUAGUAGAUUUAGUUCGUUUAUUUGAAUUUCUUCGGAAAAUUUAGAUUUGAACUGCAGGUCACUCGAAACUUGGAAAACCGUGCAUGAAAAAAUGAUAUUCAUGUUACUUAGCAUAAGUUACGACCGAUUCCAGGAGCGGACCAAAAACUUCGAGCAACAUGCUCACUAAACAUGGUCGUGAACUUGUCAUCAACAUGUUUAAAACUUGUAUAAAACACAAACAAAGUCAGAAAAUCUUGAAACUUGUCCACGUGUCAUGAUAUCAUAUGUACAGGCUGCGAUAAAAAAUUGAAAAAAUUUCGAGAAAACUAUGACGCGCUAUGUGUACAAACCUAAGAGAUCCACAUUGAAACUCUAUGAUUUCAUGUGUAGUUCUCUUAGGUUUCUACACAUAGUGUCUCACAACUUUGUCCAAACAUUCUCAAUUUUUUAUCACAACCUGUGCAUAUGAUAUCAUGACAUGUGGACAAGUUUCAUGAUUUUCUGACUUUGUUUGUGUUUUAUACAAUUUUUAAACAUGUGGAUGGCAAGUUCACGGCCAUGUUUAGUGAGCAGGUUGCUCGAAGUUUUCGGUCCGCUCAUGGAAUCGGUCGUAACUUAUGCUAAGUAACAUGAAUAUCAUUUUUUUCAUGCACGGUUUUCCAAGUUUCGAGUGACCUGCAGUUCAAAUUUGAAUUUUCCGAAGAAAUUCAAAUAAACAAACUAAAUCUACUAGCUAUUUCAAACUCUGUUAAAAUUGUCCACAAAUGAUACAUGUAGAUCUACAUAGUGUAGGAACAUACCACAAAAAGUUUGGGAGACAAAAUAAAAAAAAUACAAAUGCACUUUGCCGAGUGUCUAGGACUGACACUCGGCAAAGACUUCUUUGCCGAGUGCUAGAUGUGUGGCACUCGGCAAAGAGGUAGUAAAGAACCUUUGCCGAGUGCCGCAACGGGGGACACUCGGCAAAGAACUCUUUGCCGAGUGCCGCUGAUCUGGCACUCGGCAAAGAAUAUUUUAAAAUUUUAAAAAAAUCUUUGCCGAGUGCCGGAUCACGGGCACUCGGCAAAGAAACUAACUUUAACCGGCCGCGCGGCCGGCUUUCUUCUUCCUUCUGCUUUGCUUCUUCUUUCUUCUUCCUUCCCGCGCCUCACCGCCGCCGCCUUCCCACGCCUCACCGCCGGCCGCCUCACCGCCGCCCGCCUCACCGCCGCCGGCCUCCCCACGCCUCACCGCCGGCCGCGCCCGGCCGCCCGCGCCCCACCGCCCGCGCCCCACCGCCACCGUUCGCCCGCCUCACCGCCGCCCACGCGCCGUCGUCCGCCCGCUCGCCUCCGGUACGUAAGUUUAUCACAUGUUUAUUAGUGGCAGCCCAUAAUUAGCUUAAAGCUAGGAGGCUCCUUGGCCUCGUGCGGUCGGAGCUCGAGGUGGAGGAGCCUGCAAGCGGCAGCGGGGCAAGGGGCAGGGGCAGGGGCAGCGGGGAGUAGCUUGUGAGACGGUGGUGGUGGUGGCAUACCAGGGUUGAGCGCGCGGGCGAACAGGAGCACCGAAGAGGAGCCUGCAGCGGUGGUGUUGGGGGCAUGAGGCAGCGUGAGGAGUUACGGAUUUCCCAUCGCAUGGGGAGACUGAUAUUUGCCAGCUCCUAGAUUAGGCUAGCCAGCUCGCUGAUCCGGCCUUCCCAACGGCGGUCCAGGUCGUCGUCCACCUCCAGGUCCGAUCCUGCCCCUUCUGCAGCCACCCGGGCAGCGUCCAGUGCGACAUCUUUCUCAAGGAACGUCGGCCGUUCGCCGUGGCUGCGGUUGGUAGGGUCCAGUGCGACAUCUUUCUCAAGGAACGGCGCGUAGGGGACGACGGCGGAGGGGAGAGGGAGGCGGUGGUGGUACUGGUGGUGCACGACGGGCGGGUCGGGUCGGCACCGCCAGUCGAUGAAAAGCCUGCCGCGCGCCGCCUCGCUGAUGCCGCGGCCGAAGGAGUCCGUGUCCCCGGCGUCGAGGCGCUUCUCCUUGACGAAGCGGCUCCAGCCCUUGGUCAUCACGUAGCUCUGGCUACUGUUCCAGUAGGAGUAGCGGUAGCGCCAGGGCUUCCCCGUGCGGUCCUCGAAGCUGAGCAGGAGGCCCUUCUCGUUCGCCGCCGCGUCCAGCGGGAAGUACUUCUCCGCGUGCUGCUUCGGGAUCACCAGCCGGUUCAGCUUCCCGACGUCGCUCGGCGUCACCACCUUGUCGAACAUGUGCUCCUUCUCCACCGUCGCAUGCUGCUGCUGGUGGUGCUGGUUGUGCUCAGCAGCCGCCCUCUCCUCUCCGCCGCCCGACCGGGUCGCGGGCGGGGGAGUGGUGAACUCCAUCGAUCUCCGAUCGACGACCGGCGAUCGGUUGAGAUCGAGGCAGCAAGUCGAACGUAGGCCGUAGACGCCGGCCGAUCGAUCGACGCUGCUGCCGCUACCGCCUCCGCGUUGAGACUUUGGCCGUAGCUGCCUCGAGUCUGGGUGUGUUGAGGCCCGGGAACGAUAGCUCUUUUGGCCGGGAGGUGCUGUCGAUUUUUUUUUGUAUUAAUAGACUUGUGUUUCUUUUUUACAGAGAAGAUACUUGUCUUCCUAGCCGCUGCGGGUCUGCCUGCACCGCGUCGCGUCGCCACUGCACCGACCCGCCACAGCCCCACUAGCCUGACUCCACCGCCACCCUAGGUAUAACCUCUAUUUCCGCAUCAUGGUCGUAGAUCACGUAACCCAGUUAGGCGUCUCCCGUUCGAAAGUGAUACGGUGUAGAUAUGCAGAUCUUUGCAUAUCUACAAAUGUAUCAGUUUCGAAUUGUCCACGUUUUUUGGACAGCCCGCGGUUGCGUAGAUGGUGUUAGUUUCCAUGGUCUACUCCGGUCCGAGAAAGAGUUUCGGCGUCACCUCCCUGUUGUUCUCCGGACAGUACACUCUCCCUGCCAGGACGUGUAUCCGGAGAACAGCGGGGAGGUGCUGCCGAAAUUCUAUCUCGGAUCGGAGUAGAGCAUGGAAACUAACUCCAUCUACGCAACCGCGGGUGGGAUUAGGACCUAUCCUCACCUAUUAGAAGGUAGGAACGUAGUGUACAUGCAUUACAUGUCUAUAUUAAACUAUACUCGGUUAUAUAUGUUAGAGGAUGGAGGACCAUGAGUGGAUGUACACGGGCCGCGUUCGACGUAAUGAUGUCACCCCAGAAUGGAUUAGGAAGACCGAUGCUUUCGUGGAACGGGCAUAUGGCGAAGCUGCUAAAGGAGCUAGCCUAGUCCCUUGUCCGUGCAGCAAAUGUGACAACCGGAAAAGAAAACCAAAGAAGGCCAUGGUAGAACAUAUUUGGAAGAAUGGAUUUACGCCGGACUAUACUCGGUGGAUCUUCCAUGGUGAAGCGCAUCGCACGAGAGAGGAGGUGGUGAGACAACGCGUCGAGGAUUACGAUGCUGAUGCCGGGGUAGCAGACAUGUUGAACGACUAUCACGAGGCACAGUUCGCCGAAGGACGUACGGAGGACGAGCCAGAGGCGACCGCAAAGGCAUUCUACGACAUGUUUGACGCGGCACAGAAACCCCUUCACGGCAAGACAAAGGUUUCUCAACUGGAUGCCAUUGGGCGUAUAAUGGCGUUGAAGUCGCAGUAUAGCAUGAGUCGAGACGCCUUCGAUGGUUUGUUGACAGUUAUUGGCAGCCUGCUUCCGGAGGAUCACGUUCUGCCAAAGAGCAUGUACGAGGCACAGAAACUCCUUCGUGCACUCAAGAUGACGUAUGAGCAGAUACAUGCUUGUCCGAAGGGCUGCGUCCUAUUUAGGAAAGAACACACUGAGGCAAAGUACUGUCCGAAGUGUAAAUCGUCUAGGUUCAUGGAGGUAGACUCUGGUGAUGGACAGAAGAAGCAGCUCGACAUCCCCGUGACAAUCCUACGCCACCUUCCGUUCAUACCGAGGAUCCAGCGUCUAUACAUGACAGAGGAAUCCGCGAAACAGAUGACAUGGCACAAAAAAGGCAAACGAUACAAUCCUGACAAGAUGGUUCACGCAUCCGAUGGUGAAGCAUGGACCCACUUUGAUGCCAUUCACCAUGAGAAAGCCAAAGAGGCUCGACAUGUUCGUGUUGCGCUGGCCACAGAUGGGUUCAGUCCCUAUGGAAUGACCGCUGCCCCAUACACAUGUUGGCCCGUGUUCGUUAUCCCCAUCAAUCUCCCCCCGGCGUAUGCUUUCAAAGACAGAACAUAUUCGUGUCGUUGAUAAUUCCUGGACACCCGGGGAAUAAAAUGGGCGUGUACAUGGAGCCUUUGAUUGAUGAAUUGGUCCGUGCUUGGGAGGAAGGGGUAUGGACGUACGACCGAGCUACGAAGACAAACUUCAAAAUGCAUGUUUGGUACCAGUACUCCAUGCAUGACUUUCCGGCGUAUGGGCUAUUUUGCGCCUGGUGUGUUCACGGUAAGUUCCCAUGCCCAGUUUGCAAGGAAGCUCUUAGGUUCAUUUGGUUGAAGAAGGGUGGCAAAUAUUCGUCAUUCGAUAAACAUCGACAAUUUCUCCCUCCUGACCAUGCAUUCCGACAAGACAUCAAGAACUUUACGAAAGGUGUCGUGGUGACAGACCGCCCACCUGCAAUGAUGACUGGUGCCGAAGUUCGCGAACAGAUAGAUGGUCUCGUGGCCAACCCAGAAGGUGGUUUUGUGGGAUAUGGUGAGCAACAUAUGUGGACACAUAAGUCGGGCUUGACUCGGCUCCCCUAUUAUGAUGACCUGCUCCUUCCACACAACAUUGACGUGAUGCACACUGAAAAGAAUGUCGCCGAGGCACUUUGGGCGACAAUUAUGGAGAUUCCUGAUAAGUCAAAGGAUAACGUAAAGGCAAGAGUGGAUCUGGCAGAGUUAUGUGAUAGACCAAACCAAGAGAUGAAGCCGCCUAGUGGUGGUAAGACAUGGAGAAGGCCUAAGGCCGAUUUCGUCCUGAGCAGGGCCCAGAGGAAGGAAGUACUACAGUGGAUCAAGAUGUUAAUGUUCCCUGAUGGGUAUGCAGCUAACCUUAGUAGGGGGGUGAACUUAUCUACUCUGCGAGUCUUAGGGAUGAAGAGUCAUGACAUCCACAUAUGGAUUGAACGAAUUCUUCCGGCGAUGGUUCGAGGCUAUGUCCCUGAGCAUGUCUGGCUAGCGCUUGCAGAGUUGAGCUAUUUCUUCCGCCAGCUUUGUGCAAAAGAGUUAGCUCGGACCAUGAUUGCAGACUUGGAAAGGAUGGCACCCGUGUUACUGUGUAAGCUGGAGAAGAUCUUUCCACCCGGCUUCUUCAAUCCGAUGCAGCAUUUGAUUAUUCAUCUCCCAUAUGAGGCACGAAUGGGGGGGCCCGUGCAGGGACGUUGGUGCUAUCCAAUCGAGAGAUGUCUAAAGAGUAUCCGAAAGAAAUGUAGAAAUAAAUGCAAAAUCGAGGCUUCCAUUGCAGAGGCAUACAUACUGGAGGAGGUGUCAAACUUCACAACAACUUACUAUGGUGACAAACUGCCGAGCGUGCAUAAUACACCCCCUCGUUACAAUGAUGGCGGCAAUGAAUCGAACCUCAGCAUUUUUCGAGGGCAACUCGGAAGCGCGAGUGGUUCGACCACCAAGACCCUGAGACAUGAAGAGUGGCGCCAUAUCAUGCUAUAUGUAUUGACCAACCUUGAAGAGGUGACGCCAUACAUGGAGCAAUUUCUUCAUGAAUUCUGGCGUCGAUCAAGGGACCCAACUCCACAGGAAUAUGAUACCCUUCUUAGAAAGGGUGCGGGAAAUGGAUUGCCCGAUUUCAUUUCCUGGUUUAAACAUAAGGUACGUGCUUAGUUUGUUAUUCCAAGUUGCUCUUACGUGCGAAUAAUAUAACAAUCUAGCGUGUUUGAACUUGCAGGGCCAAAGAGAGCCGUCUAUGAGUGCCGAGUUGAGACAAGUAGCCAAUGGCUUUGCCUAUAGGGUCAGGAAAUUUUCUGGGUAUGACAUCAAUGGAUACCGUUUUCGCACAACAAGCUACGACCAAAGUCGGCCCAAUUGAAAAACCACGUGUUCUGGAGUCUUUACGCCCGGGCUUGACGAGGUCGAGUAUUAUGGAAGAAUUGAAGAAAUAUAUGAACUCAAUUUUUAUGGUUCCAAACCUCUUACUCCAGUGAUAUUCAAAUGUCAUUGGUUUGACCCUGAAGUUACGAGACGGACACAUUCUAAUCUUGGGAUAGUCGAAAUUCGACAGGAUUCCACCUUAACAGGAGACGAUGUCUACAUUGUGGCCCAACAGGCCACACAAGUGUAUUAUCUUCCAUAUGCGUGCCAAACGAAACAACAUCUUAAGGGUUGGGAUGUUGUGUAUAAGGUAUCACCGCACGCUAAAUUACCUGUUCCAAACGAUGAAGAUUAUAACUUAGACCCGGACACAUAUGACGGAGAGUUCUUCCAAGAAGAUGGGCUCGAAGGGCAAUUUGAGAUAGACUUAACCGAAGCGAUCGGAAUGGAAGUAGAUAUUGAAAUGGUUGUUGAUGACGAGGAUGAUGAGGUGCAAAAUGAGAAUGACUUAGAAAUACUUGAAGGCAAUGCCAAUGACGAAGUUGCGCCUUCAGAUGAUGUUGACUAUGAAAUGGUUGAUAGUGAUGAUGACACUUAUGAUCCGGCUAACCCGGACACAUAUGAAGAUUAUUUUUAAUCGAUGUAAUGCUAUAUUUCAUUUAUUUUGCAUAUGUUUCUAAAUACAUAUUUUUUUAUCUGUGCUUAAUUGUUUACUCUUAAUUGCAGGUUGUUGGACAAAGAUGGUUGGCGGUGGGACGAGGACGAGGAGGGGGAGGGGGAGGGGGAGGAGGAGCACCCGUAGGACGGAGGAGGAGGCGCAGCAGGACGACGCCGUACAGCAGCAGGUGGAGCAGCAAGCCGCUGUCGAUGCGGCACAGCAGGACGACGACGAUGCGGCGCAGCAGGACGACGACGACGACGACGCCGCUCAGCAGGACGUCUCAGGUUCUGGCUCCUCAGGUUCGAGGAGUAUCUACCUGCGAGGUCCCGCGAGCCUACCUAAGCGACCCAUACUUCGUGACAGACGUCCGCUCAUACGACCCGAUGGAGAGAGGUAGGUAACUUUAGAUGUUGUUGCUGCUUUUUCAUAUUAUAUGUUCAAAUUAAUAAUAGAAACUAAUACUUCAUCUUAAUCACUUUCGACAGGUCUUGGAUGAUUUUGGAGACUGCAGGGGGUCACGGCCGCAACCCCAAUGGCAUCCUCGGCCUUCUAUGCCGGGAACACUUCCCUGGGCUUGUCGAGUACGCCGGAGUGACGAGCCCAGCAUACACCUUCGACCACUACGCUGUCGCCCCCGAUGCAGUAGAUCGGGACGGCAGACAAUUCAACAACAAGGCGGAGCGGGUCAAGCAAGAGCUGUGGGUAAGUCUUCCUCGCACUAUAUUGUUUAAUAAGUCGCAUUUGUUGCAUAUUCUUUAAAUAAUGUAUGGAUACAUCGUCUUUGUAUGUAGGAUUUCUUCAGGUGCGAUGCUGGAUACGAGGCCAGGGCGGAUGUGGUGUCUACGACGUGCUGUAAGAAGCUCGUCGUGGACAUGCACUACGAGGCGCGCAUCCAGGCCAUCGUCACUUACCACGGCUCCGUCCUUGGGGAGAAGGUGAACAAGAAGGACGCCCGAACCAUGUCAUUGACUGCGGACCAGUACUUGCAGGUAAAUACAAAACUUUAUUAUUGGUACUAAAUAUGCUUAUUCUUAUCUUCUGAUAUGCGGUGUACUUAUAUUUUUUUAGAUGAUUCCUCAUUGGUGCGCCGCGCAUCCUGAGUGCUGGGAGAAGAUGGUGCAGAGGUGGUGCUCGGCUGAGUGGGACGAGGCGCACAACGCUAGCCGGGAACGGCGUUUGCUGAUGCAAGGUCCCUCCCACCAUCAAGGCAGCCGCAGCCUGGGCAAAUACGCGGAAGCAUGGGUACGCGCUCUUUUUUAUUUAGGUAUAUAACUUUCGAUUAGACAUGAUUUCUAACCAUAUCGUUGGUUUUCUCGCAGUCGGCGGCACAUGGUGGCGCGCCUUGCUCCACGUUCUCGGCAUAUGCCAUGGCCCACAAGGGGAAGGCGACGUCCGACGUCACCUACAACCCGGAUGACGGGCCCGAGGCGUACACCAACCCCGCCAUCCACAGCCGACUCAGUGAGUACACCGCAAUGGCCAAGGAGGUCCAUGGGCCAGAUUACGAUCCGAGGACCGAGGACAUCGACGGAGAUGUCCUCAUGAGGGUCGGAGGAGGCAAGAGGCAUGGGCGGUACUGGAUUGCCGACGGGGCAAUCGACUCGUCCUCCACUCCCACUCUCUCUCAGGUGCGAGCAAGGAGCACGAGCGCGAGCCCAGCCAUACGACCUCGGCAGGACACCUCACAGCAUCGUAUCCAGCAACUCCAGGUUAUUCCUUAUCUAUUCACCGUUCAUUAAUUUUUAUAUAUCUUCUCUUUGCAUUAUCGUAACAUUAGGGCAAAAUAUUACAGACUCAGCUAGAUGAUGAGAGGAGGCAACGUGAGGAGCUGGAGAAGAGGAUGGCGGAGAUGUUCGCGUACAUGCAGAGCCUUGGCGCCGCACAGGGUCAUGCUCCACCACCUCCGUUGUUCCCUGCAACUGACCCUGCUGAGUUCACUACUCCUGUGAGUAUCAAAAUUUUAGUACCGCAUGAUAUAUAUUCAUAUGUUCUCACACAUACAAUCUAUUCUCUAUGAAGGGUCAAUCGGCGGCGUCGAACAACCCUCAUGCUUCGUCCAGCCCUUCGCCGAACCAGUCCAGAUGCCCACCUCGUUGAUGAUCCAGACUUGGUCUUGUGAGUGUUGGUGAUGUUUGGCUAGUGACACUUUGUGAUAUAUAUGUGACGGUUGGUGAUGUUUGGCUAGUGAUCCAGACUUGGUAAAUACACAUACUUAUAUUUGUGAGACUUAUAUUAGUGACACUUUGUGAUAUAUAUGGUGUUGAUGAUAAAUGUGUUCAUUCUGUGAUGCGAUUGAUAUAUAAUGUGAUGUGAAUGAUAUAUAUCUUUUGUUUGUUUGGAUGGAACAGCAAAAACAAAUAAAAAAGGGACAUCCUGGUCACUUUGCCGAGUGUAACACUCGGCAAAGGGUUCUUUGCCGAGUGCUAUGACCAUGGCACUCGGCAAAGAAGGCAACCUGGGAACCGGUAAAGCCGUCUUUGCCGAGUGCUGACAAUGGCACUCGGCAAAGAAGGCAACCUGGGAACCGGCAAAGACAUCUUUGCCGAGUGCUGAAAAUGGCACUCGGCAAAGAAGGAAACCUGGGAACCGGCAAAGAUGUCUUUGCCGAGUGCCACUGCCAAGGCACUCGGCAAAGGGACUGGCAAAGGGGCCCACUAGAGGGUUCUUUGCCGAGUGCCAGUUCACCAGACACUCGGCAAAUAAACCUCCUUUGCCGAGUGUCGCCGUGGGCACUCGGCGAAGGAUCCGUCACCGUCACUUGGCGCCGUGACGGUGACUUUUCUUUGCCGAGUGCCAAAUGGCACUCGGCAAAGUCUUUGCCGAGUGCCCGACAAAAAGUACUCGGCAAAGAUGCUGUUGCCGAUGUACAGUUCGCCGAGCGUUCUUUGCCGAGUGUUACACUCGGCAAAGCAUUUGCCGAGUGUAAAAUAGCCUUUGCCGUGUGUCUCAGACACACGGCAAAGAAGCUGAUUCCGGUAGUGUUUGGGGGGCGACUAACACAAAUCGAUGACCUUUGAUGAAGAUGGAUGUAUUUCUCCCACAAAAUCUUGGAUCCAUCCUCUACUAUGAAAAGUCAUGAAUUCACAAGACGUUUUCGAAAACAAUUUCAGCUUCACUUGUAAAGUUGCUUGUGCGGCUGAAGCCAAGAAAACAUUAGAGGACAAACAAUAACUUACUAUGCUUUUCGUGAACUGUUUCAGACCAGCAGUAAUAAUUAUUGGUCCUACAUGCAUUAAUGGAUAAGCGGCUAGCAUGCCAAGACGGAGCAUUAGUUAGGAGAUAAGACCUAGCGUUUCAUUGCAUCCCCAUGAAAGGAAUACUAUCACUACUGCAUGAAUAAUUUUCAAAUGUAUUAAAAACUGAUAUUGAAAUGUAGGUAAUCUGUCCGCCUAUGUGAAAUGUUUAACAGAGGCAGCCACUCUAGGAUGUUGCCUCUAUUAAUUACUCAUAGAUGCAGCCAUCCAACUCUAGGAUUUCAAUUAGUCUCAAUCUAUGCAUUCGUCUAUGCAUUCUAGGAUUACAAUUAGUCUCAAUCUUGUAGUAUUUGUUCCUUCCUUGUCAAAUCACUUCUCAUCUAACUACUAUGCUUGUUUAACCAUCAGAACAUAACUACAACAACAUCCAUUUAUAAAGGCUUCGAUAGCAAACUUUACAUAUUCAUAUCAUGUUAAGGUUGUCACAUGUGUAAAGGUGAAGAGAUCAUGCAUGUCAUUCCACGUAGAUAAAAAGAAUGCCUAUAUAAAAAUGGCACAUUUUCUUGUAGGUAGUGGAAAGUAUCUUUCCAGCAAAGACCAUAUAAUCCGAUAAAGCUGAUAACUAAAUGUCGAAAUCGAGUAGAUGCCAUAUCAUCUAUACCUUAUCUGUUGUUUGGAAAAAAAAAAGACAAAAUCCAAAAAAAAAUAUAAGAGAUCUCACCUAUAUAAAUAGCUCUGAAAUCAGUAGUUAAUCCAUCACCCAUAAUAUUUUGAGCAUUCAGAAACACACCAAGCGAAGCGCACUAGCAACGACCUAACAACAAUGGCUACCAAGAUAUUAGCCCUCCUUGCGCUUCUUGCCCUUUUUGUGAGCGCAACAAAUGCGUUCAUUAUUCCACAAUGCUCACUUGCUCCUAGUGCCAUUAUUCCACAGUUCCUCCCACCAGUUACUUCAAUGGGCUUCGAACACCUAGCUGUGCAAGCCAACAUGCAACAACAAGCGCUUGCGGCGAGCGUCUUACAACAACCAAUUGCCCAAUUGCAACAACAAUCCUUGCCACAUCUAACAAUACAAGCCAUCACAACGCAACAGCAACAACAGUUCCUACCAGCACUGAGCCACCUAGCCAUGGUGAACCCUGCCGCCUACUUGCAAGAGCAGCUGCUUGCAUCCAACCCACUUGCUCUGGCGAACGUAGUUGCAAACCAGCAACAACAACAGCUACAACAGUUUCUGCCAACGCUCAGUCAACUAGCCAUGGUGAACCCUGCCGCCUACGUACAACAACAACAACUGCUUUCAUCUAGCCCGCUCGCUGUGGGCAAUGCACCUACAUACCUGCAACAACAAUUGUUGCAACAGAUUGUACCAGCUCUGACUCAACUAGCUGUGGCAAACCCUGUUGCCUACUUGCAACAGCUGCUUCCAUUCAACCAACUGACUCUGUCGAACUCUGCUGCGUACCUACAACAGCGACAACAGUUACUUAAUCCAUUGGUAGUGGCUAACCCAUUGGUCGCCGCCUUCCUACAGCAGCAACAAUUGCUGCCAUACAACCAGUUCUCUUUGAUGAAUCCUGUCUUGUCGAGGCAGCAACCCAUCGUUGGAGGUGCCAUCUUUUAGAUUACAUAUGAGAUGUACUCGAUAAUGGUGCCCUCAUACCGACGUGUGUUUCCUAGAAAUAAUCAAUAUAUUGAUUGAGAUUUAUCUCGAUAUAUUUCUGAACUAUGUUCAUCAUAUAAAUAAUUGAAAACAUCAAAUCGUAAUUAUAAACUCAUGCUUGGUCAAUACAUAGACAAUGCGAUAUUACUUCAGCAUCCCAAUGAUGUCCUAGCCCAACCUCUUGAAUGUUACUGUUUUAAUGUGUGACGGUAUAUUUAUAAGAUAGACGUGACUAUUUGCGCUUUUUUGAGUACAUACAUAUAUGGUAUGUUGAUUUGAUAUAGUGAUGGACACAUGCUUAACCAUUAAUAUUCAAAUCAGUUGUACUUGCAUGGAGCAAAACAUAAUAUAAGUUUAGGAGUACACUUAUAACUGUGUCCAAACAUGCUCACACAAAUUCAUACCACAUUAUAAUGUUUUGGUAAAUAUUCCACACAUGUAUUUUUUACAACUCAAUUUUGCAGACAAAUGCAGCAUUGUAGACAUGUAGAAUUCUUUGAAGCCCGUGAACUAACAACACCAAGGUCAUUAAAUCAACCGGACCCUAUGAGUAACAAUUUCGAUAUUGCAAACACCAAAUUAUAGAACUUAUUGGCUGAAAAAAUUAUGAGCAAUGUGAAGUUUAAAUUAUUAUACCAUAAAUAUAUCAAAGAACUUUUUUUGAGGAACGUAAAAAUUGCAUGGAAUGGGCAGCCCAACAUGCUAGCUCACUUCUAUGCUAGGUAGCAUUACCAAAGAUGAAAAUGUUGCUGAUGAACGCCAAACCCACUCAAAUAAUAUUUAUAUUUGGGUUGUUUAGUUGUAAAAGUGAAGACCCAAGAUAAAAGUACCAAUUGUCCAAUGACAUUCAAUUAUUUUGUUCGGGGAGCACUUGGUGCGUCAUUUGGACUCAUAUCUUAGUCCAAUAGAUUGCAUUUUCCUUCAAUUUGUAGAAUCCGACAAAGUGCAUGUUCUAAAAUUGUAAAUCUAACUAAAUUAGAAAGCUUGUUACUAAUUUGAUGGUUUGUUAGGUGUAGCUCGUAAAACUAGAACCAACAUAGCUUGCACUCACAUGUCAAAGGAAAUUGGAGUAUCCAAGCACAAUUUGUGUGAGCAUCCAUGACACUGUUAUAAAUGAAUGCGACACAAAUAGGAUCAAUCACAGAGAAGACACGAAUUUAACGUGGAAAACCCCUCCAAAGUGAAGGGGAAAAAACCACGGGCGCCGGCCGGCAACUUCUCACUAUUUUUGGGUGGUUACAGAUCGCAGGAGAUUUACAAUUGAGAUAGAUAUCUCCUGCGGCUUACAAAGAUAUUUAUAGAGGUGAAACCCUAAAACGAUCGCCUCCCGGCGACGGGCCUCCGCUUCGCUCGCCAACUUGGCCGCCUUCUUCAGAAUUUGGAUCACAAACUCAACAAACUCCACCUUGAGACAAAUACCUUGUAGCAUCAUAAUAGCAACCUCCACCUUAAACAAAUGCAUCAUCAUCUUGCCGGCGCCAACAGCCACUAAGGGCUAAUUUAUAAUACCAACUAAGUUUGAGCAUAGCUCAAACUUAGCAACAGAAACAUGCUUCGUCAUCACAUCAGCUGGAUUAUUAUCAGUACUGAUCUUGCAUACCUUCACCAACCCUUUUUCAAUGAUAUCACGAAUGAAGUGAUAACGAAUAUCAAUAUGUUUGGAUUUCUCAGUAAUCAUCUGAUCUUUGGUGAGAUGAAUGGCACUCUGGCUAUCACAAUAGAUGGUAAUGCAAGACUUAAUUCCACAUAGCUCUGAAUAUAUACCUUUCAACCAUAAGGCUUCCUUAGUAACUUCUGCAAUUGCCAUAUAAUCAGCUUCUAUGGUAGACAAAGCAACAGUAUCCUGUAAACGAGCUUUCCAACUCACAGCACAAUCUCCAAUAGUAAAGACAUAACCUGAAAGAGAUCUCCUCCUGUCUAAAUCACCACCAUAAUCUGAAUCAACAUAGCUAAUCAGCCCAUCUCCAGAUUUACCAAAACAUAAACAAGCACUAGAAGAACCACGUAGAUAUCUGAAAAUCCACUGAACAGCUUUCCAAUGCUCUUUACCAAGAUUAGACAUGUAUCUAGCAACAACGCUCGUAGCAUGAGACAAAUCAGGACGAGAACAAACCAUAGCAUACAUGAGUGACCCAACAACACUAGAGUAUGGAACUUUUGACAUAUAUUCAAGCUCAGCAUCAGUUUCAGCACACUGUUUAGCAGACAGUUUAAAAUGAGGAGCCAACGGAGUACUCACAGGUUUAGUAUUUUGCAUGUUGAAACGACGAAGGACCUUCUCAAUAUAAUUCUUCUGGCUCAAGUACAGCAGUCCAGACUUCCUAUCCCUGACUAUCUCUAUGCCAAGGAUUUUCUUUGCAGCACCCAGAUCCUUCAUAUCAAAUUCGCUACUAAGUUGUGCCUUUAAAGCAGUGAUUUCCUUCAUGCUCUUGGCAGCAAUCAACAUAUCAUCAACAUAUAGCAGCAAAUAUGUAGGUGAUCCAUUAACAAAUUUUAGAUAAACACAACUAUCAUAUUGAGACUUCUGAAAGCCCUUAGAAAGCAUAAAUGAAUCAAACCUCUUAUACCAUUGUCUGGGAGAUUGUUUCAGACCAUAUAAGGACUUCUUCAAGCUGCACACAUAGUCUUCUUUUCCAGGAACAAUGAACCCCUCUGGCUGGUCCAUAUAAAUGUCUUCCUCCAAAUCACCAUGUAAGAAAGCAGUUUUCACAUCUAACUGUUCAAGCUCAUAGUCAUGUAUAGCAACAAGACUAAGAAAGGUACGAAUUGAACUAUGCUUGACAACAGGAGAAUAGACAUCAGAGUAAUCAAUUCCUGGAAUCUGACUAAAACCUUUUGCAACUAGCCUUGCUUUAAAGCGCGGAGGCUCUUUUGGAGUCAUACCUUCUUUUCUUUUGAAGAUCCAUUUGCACUUAAUUGCCUUUUUACCAGAAGGCAGCCGAGCUAGUUCCCAAGUGCCAUUCUUAUCAAGAGACUCCAUUUCUUCAUGCAUAGCACCCAUCCACUUUUCACUAUCAGUAGACAAUAUAGCUUCUGAAUAAUUCAAUGGUUCCUGAAUAUUAUCAACUUCUUCAGCAACAGCCAAAGCAAAAGCAACAUUGCACUCUUGAAUCAGUCUUUGGGGCCGAACUAUCUGCCUCCUAGUUCGGCCUUCAGCAAGAGACUGGGGAUGAGACUCCACAACAGGUGAUGAAAUUUCAGAAACAGAAUUUUCAGCAGGUUCAGCAGAUGGUGGAGCAUGAUCAUCAACAUCCCCCCCCCCCCCCGUGCUCCACCUGCACACUGAUAGACUCAGAAUUCUGGUUAGUAGCACUGGUAGAUACAACCGAAGGGAACAUAGCAGAUUCAUUGAACACAACGUUUCUACUAAAAAAUGCCUUCUGUGUAUCAGGAUUCCACAAUUUAUAUGCUUUAACACCAGAUCCAUAACCCAAGAAAACACACUUAAUUGCUCUAGGCUCAAGUUUACCAUUAUCAACAUGUGCAUAUGCAGUACAACCAAACACUCUCAACUGAGAAUAAUCAUAGGGGGAACCAGACCAAACCUCAAUUGGAGUUUUCUUAUCGAUAGCAGUGGAUGGUGAACAAUUGAUCAAAUGACAAGCAGUGGAAGCGGCCUCAGCCCAAAACUUUCGGCUCAAACCUAAGUUGGACAACAUACACCGAGCCUUGGAGAUUAUUGUUCUAUUCAUACGCUCUCCCACACCGUUCUGCUGAGGCGUAUAUGGUAUAGUGUGGUGCCUCACAAUGCCCUCCUUCCUGCAGAAAGAGUUAAAAUCACCAGAACAAAACUCCAUACCAUUGUCAGUUCUCAGAACCUUCAGCUUCCUCUCAGUCUGCUUCUCAACCAUAGUCUUCCAAACCUUGAAAGACUCAAAGGCAUCUGAUUUUUGCUUAAGAAAAUAAGGCCAAACUCUGCGUGAAUUAUCAUCAAUGAUAGUCAACAUGUAACGAGCACCACCAUGUGAAGGUAUACGUGACGGCCCCCACAAAUCAGCAUGAACAUAAUCAAGAAUAUUUUCUGUAUUAUGAACAGCAGAACUGAAUUUUACCCUUUUAUGCUUACCGAAAACACAGUGCUCACAAAAAUCAAGAGUAUCAGCAUGGCAACCAUCAAGAAGGCCUCUCUUGCUCAAUUCUGCCAAACCAGGUGCACUCAUAUGGCCAAGUCGCAUAUGCCAAAUUUUAGUAGUCUCAGAAUCAGAUGCAACAACAGCAUUAGCAGAGCCAGAACUACCUCGAAGCACAUAUAAGUUUUCAGCUUUCAAAUCACCUUUAAUAACCACAAGAGAGCCUUUUGUUACCUUUAUGACACCGUCACCGGCGGUAUACUUGUAGCCCUUUGUGUCCAGAGUACUCAGAGAGAUGAGGUUCCUGGACAUGGAUGGAACAUGUCGUACUUCAGUCAAUGUGCGUACAAUCCCAUCGAACAUCUUGAUCUGCAGGGUGCCCAUGCCAACAACAGUGCAAGGGGAAUUAUCACCCAUCCGAAGAGUACCUCCGUUCUGCACAGCUUCAUAGGUACUAAACAGAGAUUUUUUAGUGCAAACAUGAUACGAGCAAGCAGAAUCGAGGAUCCAUUGGGCAUCAUCAGCAGCACAACCAGCAAAGGCAAUAAGAACAUCACCAUUAUCAGAAUUAUUUUCGGAUGCAACAGAGACAGUACCUCCAGUCUUACCCUUCUCCUUGUUCCUCUUCUCCUUGUUCUGCAGUUUGUAACAGUUCUCAAUUACAUGGUUCGUCUUCUUGCAGUAUUUGCAAAAAAAUUCAUCAGAUGGCCCCCUUGACUUGGAGCGACCCCUCUGGUUCUUCCCCUUUCCUUUGCCACCUGAGUUGUACUUUUUCUGAUCAGUGCGGCCACGGACAUACAAAGCUUCUCCACUCGAGCCAGCAGCAUCUUCCGAGUUAACCAUCUGUCUCAUCUUUUCUUUCGCAGUCAAAGCUUCAUACACUUCAGCCACGGUUAGAGUAUCACGAUUGUAUAGGAUGGUAUCUCGAAAAUUGCUAAACGAUGCAGGGAGGGAACACAGGAGAAGAAGAGCUAGGUCUUCAUCAUCAAACUUUACCUCCAUAGACGUCAGAUCGGCCACGAUCUCCUUAAACACCGAUAUGUGCGUCAGAACGGAUCCUCCUUCCUGCAACUUGUGGGAGAACAACUUCAUUUUGACAUGCAUCUUGCUGGUCAGAUCCUUUGACAUACAGAUCGACUCCAGCUUCAACCAGAGAGCAGCGACAGUUUUCUCCGCCAGAACCUCCUGCAGAAUAUUGUUAGACAGAUGAAGGUGAAUAUGUGCGAGCGCCUUACGAUCCUUGCGCCUCUCCUCAUCAGUCCACGUCCUGGCAUCCUUGUUGCCAAAUCCAUCUAGGGCAUCAUCCAGGUCGCGAUCAGAUUGCGAGAGAAUUGCCCGCAUCUUCACCUGCCACAGCGAGAAACGCGUGUCGAGAUCCAGCAGUGGAAGAUCGUACUUCAUUGUCGUCGACAUCCGUGCGCCGGCAGGAAACCCUAGCACACCGAUCAACAAACAACCAAAGCUCCGAUACCACUUGUUAUAAAUGAAUGCGACACAAAUAGGAUCAAUCACAGAGAAGACACGAAUUUAACGUGGAAAACCCCUCCAAAGUGAAGGGGAAAAAACCACGGGCGCCGGCCGGCAACUUCUCACUAUUUUCGGGUGGUUAUAGAUCGCAGGAGAUUUACAAUUGAGAUAGAUAUCUCCUGCGGCUUACAAAGAUAUUUAUAGAGGUGAAACCCUAAAACGAUCGCCUCCCGGCGACGGCCUCCGCUUCGCUCGCCAACUUGGCCGCCUUCUUCAGAAUUUGGAUCACAAACUCAACAGACACAAAUUAUAUAUAGACUGAUAUAAUUAAUUCCUUCAAAAAUAAAAAAAGGAAAAAAUAAAUUGUUUUUUGAUACUGCAGGAUAUCUCUUUAGCUAAUGAGGAGUACUAAAAAUAUGUUGCACUUUUGGGUGGCAAGAAUUCCUCAAUCAUAACUUUGACAUAAUUUUAAUCCGGAUCACAUAUAUAUCAUCAUAUCUUAAUUAUUAAAUUAAUAUGGUUGCAUCAUCGUAUUAUUAAUUCAAUCCGAUAUAACCAUCAGAGCUUAAUUAUUUAAUUAAUCUAGAGCGUACAUUAGAUUAUCAAACCAAAUCAACCUGACAUAACCAUCGAAUGUUCCGCUAUGCACCUUAAGCGCAUGGUCUGGGGCUUAAUCAUCCGGAAUAACCAUCCAAUCUUCUGGUAAGCAUAGUAAGCGUAUGGUUCACGGCUUCGUCAUCCGGAAUAACCAUCAGAUUUUCCGGCAUGCAAUGAAAGCAAAUGAUUCGUGGUUUUUGUAGGGGAAACGUUGUUAGGUGAAUGCGGAUGCUGGCUGAUGUUGCACGUGCGAACUGUUGUGUGGAAGCUGCUAGGUCCUCCUCUAUUGUGUGUGGCUUGUGGCGGGCUUGGACUGCUCUCAUGGCUUCGGCGCUUGGAACUGCUCGUCCGUCUGGUCCUGCGUGCAUCUCUCUCUCUCUCCUGGCUGGAGGCGUGGUGGCCUGGCAGCUUCUCUGUGUUUUUCUUUUUACGACAGCUUCUCGUGUUAGCUAGGGUUAGCGUCAGGGGCCCGGUCAGCUAUGCUCCCUCAGCUUUUAUAGGCAUCGCACCACAGCAGGUAGAGCAGAGAUAAAGAUUCCAACCGCAUCCAUCUACAAACAAGGCUCUCGGCGGAAGGGAUAAAAGCAUGCAGCGCAAUUGCUGCUGCCGUGUUGUGGCCUUGACUCUCGUCAAUUGGAUGACCAAAAGAUGCCACCGUCGCAGCUGCCUGUUUGUCACCAACACAAAAUUGUAGGUGCCUGUUUGUCACCAAUUAUCCUCUACCACAAAGAACUACAAUAGUGAUGGAGGAUCCGAUCCUGCACAGAUACACUAUAAUGCAUAGUGGGUGAUGCAUGCCUAAUGGUGGUUGUUUAGUGUUAGUUUGGGCAUGUUGGAACUAAGCAAUUGUCGAUGCCAUACGCUAGAAGUGAAGAAUGUUGUUACCGUUAGGAGUAGAGGUGUCAAUGGGGUCUGAUACCCGUUAAGCCAUGGAGAAUUUAUCUAAUAGAUUUAGGGUAUGGGAAGAUUUUAAUUUCCAUUUGUUGAAGUUAGGUAUACAUCUAUUUGAAUCGACAGUUACAAUUCAAUGUUUGUCAUUAAAUAUUCCACACAUGUAUUUUUUACAAGAACCCAAAUUUUGUAGACAAAUGCAGCAUUGUAGACAUGUAGAAUUCUUUGAAGCCCGUGAACUUAACAACACCAAGGUCAUUAAAUCAACUGGACCCUAUGAGUAACAAUUUCGAUAUUGCAAACACCAAAUUAUAGAACUUAUUGGCUGAAAAGUUAUGAGCAAUGUGAAGUUUAAAUUAUUAUACCAUAAAUAUAUCAAAGAACUUUUUUGAGGAACGUAAAAUUGCAUGGAAUGGGCUACCCAACGUGCAAGCUCACUUCUAUGCUAGGUAGCAUUACCAAAGAUAGGAAUGUUGCUGAUGAACGCCAAACUGAAAGUUCCCUUUGCUCGGGAACAGGAUCUGGAUGUCGCCUAGAGGGGGGUGAAUAGGCGAAUAAUAAUUAUCACUUUGAAGACUUAAAUUCUUACUCUACUUGAAGACCAGAUCGUAGUGGAAUGAAAGACCCUUCGAGUCGGUUGCAGCGGAAUAGAAGAUCCUGUCUCAAAAUGCCCUGCACUUCAAAUAUAACUUGAACCACAGAUAAGUAUUGAAGUGUAGAUAUAAAGAGUAGAUAAGACAGAGGAUCAACACACAACACAGAGCAGAGCACAUAGACGCAGGAUUUUAUCCCGAGGUUCGGCCAAGCCUGAGAUGCUUGCCUAGUCCUCGUUGGAGUUAGCCACACCUGGGCUUGGAGUCUAUUUCAACUCCUUCCUCCGUUUGCUCAGAUCUAUCAGUAUGACAGAUAGAGCCUUUCACUAUGUUGAGUUCGGUUACAACAACGCCGUGGCUGCUUACAGUCUUCUUGACAGCACUCCGGUAGAGUAACAAUGCGCUCAAGACUUUGCUCUAGCUCUUUGCAGCACCUCUCCACUCUCUAAAGGCUUAUAACUUUGCCUUCACACAAACUAGAGAGAUAUACAUUAGAGUGAGAGAGAGAAUCGAUCUGAGUGAUGUAUACAAUUGUUGGUUGCACUUGUGUGCUUGUUGGAGGCGCCUAGGAGUCCCUUUUAUAGACCCAAGGGGCCUAGGAGCCGUUGGAAUUCAUUUUGGAAGACAAUAUUUGCUUUCUAUCGGGUAGCAUGUCCAGUGCACGAUCUCCUUCCAAAACAAGCUCAACUGACCAUUGGAGCAACGUUUGACUUGGCUCACCGGACACUGUCCGGUGCACACCGGACAGUCCGGUGCGCCAACUAUCCGUUGGCCCAAGCCACACGUCGCCCGCUGAUCGCGCUGCCGACCGUUGGCUCACCGGACAGUCCGGUGAAUUAUAGCCGUACGUCACCAAACUUCUCCCGAGAGCGGCCUGUUCACCGGAGUUCAGUCUGGCGCACCGGACACAGUCCGGUGUGCCAGACUGAGCAGAGACAUGGUUGUACAUAGCCAAGUCUUUUGCAUCUCUUUUCUUUUCUUCUUUUCUCUGUUUCUAACACUUAGACAAAUAUAUUAGUACACACAAACCAAUGUACUAAGUCUAGAAACAUACCUUCUCUUUGAUUUUCACUUCUUCAGCAUUUGGCAUAAUUGAGAUUGAUGUUGGACUCAUAAAUCAUCAAGUCAACUUUACUUGAUCUAGAUUGACAUUUCUGAGCUCCAACAUCCUGCAAAGGUCACAUAGAAUAUCUUCAAACUAGGAACAACCCAAACUAGAGAUCAAGGUGCACUAAGCUCUUUUGGGCUUCUUCCAGUUAUGGUUUUGACACAGCUUCUCCUUUCAGUGACCUUGUUCACUUCUUGAGCUUGAUCUUGAGCCUUAUGACUUAAGCCACAUAAUUGUAGAUGUUACCUCAUUGGUUGUAAGUCAUGUCCUUAUGUAGUGUUCACUGAUGCACCAUAACUUUUCUUAACUCGAUCAACCUUGAUUCCGCAAGUCUUCUUCUUCACCCCUGGCCUUGGGUUCCUGGUCUCCUUGACUUUCUCCCAUGCACUCGGUACCUCGAAGCUCUUCUUGCUUCCAUCCUUGGCUUGAUCGGUUGUCUCUGAGUUAUGCACCUCGAGUCACACUUAAGCAAUGCCCAUCCUUCUUGUGAUGUCCAUUAUCUAUAAAUAGUUCAGUCUUUGGACCAUCACACUUGUUCACUUGUGUUGGACCAUAUUAGCUUUACAUAAAGCACCUAUUCAACACUUAGCACACUUGUUAGUCCUUUAAUUGGGUUGUCAUCUAAACACCAAAACUCACAAGAGAGCUUUCACAAACCCACUCAAAUAAUAUUUAGAUUUGGGUUGUUUAGUUGUAAAAGUGAAGACCCAAGAUAAAAGUACCAAUUGUCCAAUGACAUUCGAUUAUUUUGCUCGGGGAGCACUUGGUGCGUCAUUUGGACUCGUAUCUUAGUCCAAUAGAUUGCAUUUUCCUUCAAUGUGUAGAAUCUGACAAAGUGCAUGUUCUAAAAUUGUAAAUCUAACUAAAUUAGAAAGCUUGUUACUAAUUUGAUGGUUUAUUAGGUGUAGCUCAUAAAACUAGAACCAACAUAGCCUGCACUCACAUGUCAUAGAAAAUAGGAGUAUCCAAGCACAAUUUGUGUGAGCAUCCAUGACACAAAUUAUAUAUAGACUGAUAUAAUUAAUUCCUUAAAAAAAGAAAAAGGAAAAAAUAAAGUGGUUUUUGAUACUGCAGGAUAUCUCCUUUAGAUAAUGAGGAGUACUAAAAAGAUGUUGCACUUUUGGGUGGCGAGAAUUCCUCAAUCACAUAUAUAUCAUCAUAUCUUAAUUAUUAAAUUAAUAUGGUUCCAUCAUCGUAUUAUUAAUUCAAUUUGAUAUAACCAUCAUAUCUUAAUUAUUAAAUUAAUCUGGAGCGUAGAGUAGAUUAUCAAACCAAAUCAACCCGACAUAACCAUCGAAUGUUCUGCUAUGCACAAUAAGCGCAUGGUCCGGGGCUUAAUCAUCUGGAAUAACCAUCAGAUCUUCUAGUAUCUUCUAGUAAGCAUAGUAAGCGUAUGGUUCACGGCUUCGUCAUCCGGAAUAACCAUCAGAUUUUCCAGUAUGCACUGAAAGCAAAUGAUCUGGGGUUUUGGUAGGUGAAACGUUGUUAGGUGAAUGCGGAUGCUGGCUGCUGUUGCACGUGCGAACUGCUGUGUGCAAGUUGCUGGAUCCUCCUCUAUUGUGCGUGGCUUGUGGCGGGCUUGGACUACUCUCAUGGCUUCGGCUCUUGGAACUGCUCGUCCGUCCUGCCCUGCGUGCAUCUCUCUCUCUCCUGGCUGGAGGCGUGCUGGCCUAGUGGCUUCUCUGUGUUUUUCUUUUUACGGCGGCUUCUCAUGUUGGCUAGGGUUGGCGUCAGGGGCCCGGUCAGCUAUGCUCCCUCAGCUUUUAUAGGCAACGCACCACAGCAGGAAGAGCAGAGAUAAAGAUUCCAAGUGCAUCCAUCUACAAACAAGGCUCUCGGUGGAAGGGAUAAAAGCAUGCAGCGCAAUUGCCGCUGCCCUGCUGCAGCCUUGACUCUCGUCAAUUGGAUGACCAAAAGAUGCCACCGUCUAAGCUCUUUUCUUUUGUGCAGCUGCCUGUUUGUCACCAACACAAAAUUGUAGGUGCCUGUUUGUCACCAAUUAUCCUCUACCACAAAGAACAACAAUAGUGAUGGAGGAUCCGAUCCGGCGCAGAUCCACUAUAAUGCAUAGUGGGUGAUGCAUGCCUAAUGGUGGUUGUUUAGUGUUAGUUUGGUCAUGUUGGAACUAAGCAAUUGUCGAUGCCAUACACUAGAAGUGAAGAAUGUUGUUAGCGUUAGGAGUAGACGUGUCAAUGGGGACCGAUACCCGUUAAGCCAUGGAGAAUUUCUCUAUAAGAUUUAGGGUAUGGGAAGAUUUUAAUUUCCAUUUGCUGAAGUUAGGUAUACAUCUAUUUGAACCAACAAUUACAGUUCAACAGAAACUCCUUCCGCUCUAGUUUGUUGUGUGUCCUACCUUUUUCCUAAACUAGUUUUUCCUAAAUUGACAUACUCUCUAGAAAAUCUAUCCAAAUUUUGAAGAUCAAAUCUGUUCCAUUGAAUUAUUCAUGACAUAUAUCUUGGUAUUGCUUUUUGUCAUCAGAAUAUAUUUUGAACUCAUUAAAAGUUAUACACGAUUUUUUUAGACAAUACUAAAGCAAGAUGUAAUUAAGAACACUUGAGGUGUGCGCCAAUUGCCACAUUUAGAUAUAAUCAUUCAAAUUUUGGUCAUCAUAUGUGUGUGCAUUGAUCUAUGCAUUCUAGGAUUUCAAUUAGUCUCAAUCUUGUAGUAUUUGUUCCUUCAUUGUCAAAUCACUUCUCAUCUAACUACUAUGCUUGUUUAACCAUCAGAACAUAACUACAACAAUAUCCAUUUAUAAAGGUUUUGAUAGCAAACUUUACAUAUUCAUAUCAUGUUAAGGUUGUCACAUGUGUAAAGGUGAAGAGAUCAUGCAUGUCAUUCCACGUAGAUGAAAAGAAUUCCUAUAUAAAAUGACACCUUUUCUUGUAGGUAGUGGAAAGUAUCUUUCCAGCAAAGACCAUAUAAUCCGAUAAAGUUGAUAACUAAAUGUCAAAAUAGAGUAGAUGCCAUAUCAUCUAUACCUUAUCUGUUGUUUGGAAAAAGACUAAAUCCAAAAAAUAUAUAUGAGAUCUCACUUGUAUAAAUAGCUCCCAAAUCAGUAGUUAACCAUCACCCAUAAUAUUUUGAGCAUUCAGAAACACACCUAGCGAAGCGCACUAGCAACGACCUAACAACAAUGGCUACCAAGAUAUUAUCCCUCUUUGCGCUUCUUGCCCUUUUUGUGAGCGCAACAAAUGCGUUCAUUAUUCCACAAUGCUCACUUGCUCCUAGUGCCAUUAUUCCACAGUUCCUCCCUCCAGUUACUUCAAUGGGCUUCGAACACCCAGCUGUGCAAGCCUACAGGCUACAACAAGCGCUUGCGGCGAGCGUCUUACAACAACCAAUUGCCCAAUUACAACAACAAUCCUUGGCACAUCUAACCAUACAAACCAUCGCAACGCAACAGCAACAACAAUUUCUACCAGCACUGAGCCAACUAGCUGUGGUGAACCCUGUCGCCUACUUGCAACAGCAGUUGCUUGCAUCCAACCCACUUGCUCUGGCAAACAUAGUUGCAUACCAACAACAACAACAAUUGCAACAGUUUCUACCAGCGCUCAGUCAACUAGCCAUGGUGAACCCUGCCGCCUACCUACAACAGCAACAACUGAUUUCAUCUAGCCCUCUCGCUGUGGUUAAUGCACCUACAUACCUGCAACAACAGUUGCUGCAACAGAUUGUACCAGCUCUGACUCAGCUAGCUGUGGCAAACCCUGCUGCCUACUUGCAACAGCUGCUUCCAUUCAACCAACUGACUGUGUCGAACUCUGCUGCGUACCUACAACAGCGACAACAGUUACUUAAUCCACUAGCGGUGGCUAACCCAUUGGUCGUUGCCUUCCUACAGCAGCAACAAUUGCUGCCAUACAACCAGUUCUCUUUGAUGAACCCUGCCUUGUUGUGGCAGCAACCCAUCGUUGGAGGUGCCAUCUUUUAGAUUACAUAUGAGAUGUACUCGAUAAUGGUGCCCUCAUAGCGGCAUGUGUUUCCUAGAAAUAAUCAAUAUAUUGAUUGAGAUUUAUCUCGAUAUAUUUCUAAACUAUGUUCAUCAUAUAAAUAAUUGAUAAUUGAAAACAUCAAAUCGUAAUUAUAAACUUAUGCUUGGUCGAUACAUAAACAAUAAAAUAUUACUUCAUCAUCCCAAUGAUGUCCUAGCCCAACCUCUUGAAUGUUAUAGUUUGGGUGUGUGCGGGUGUAUUUAUAAGAUAGAUGUGACUAUUUGCGCUUUUUGUUGAGUACAUACAUAUAUGGUAUGUUGAUUUGAUAUAGUGAUGGACACAUGCUUUGACCAUGAAUAUUCAAAUCGGUUGUACUUGCACGAAGCAAAACAUAAUAUUAGUUUAGGAGUAAACUUAUAACUGCGUCCAAACAUGCUCACACAAAUUCAUACCACAUUAUAAUUUUUUGGUAAGUAUUCCACACAUAUUUUUUUACAAGAACCCAAAUUUUGCACACAAAUGUACCAUUCUAGACAUGUAUAAUUCUUUGAAGCCCGUGAACUUAACAGCACCAAGGUCAUUAAAUCAAUUGGACCCUAUGAGUAACAAUUUCGAUAUCGCAAACACCAAAUUAUGGAACUUAUUGGCUGAAAAAAUUAUGAUCAAUGUAAAGUUUAAAUUAUUAUACCAAAAAUAUAUCAAAGAACUUUUUUGAGGAACGUAAAAAUUGCAUGGAAUGGGCUGCCUAACGUGCUAGCUCACUUUUAUGCUAGGUAGCAUUACUAAAGAUGGGAAUGUUGUUGAUGAACGCCAAACCCACUCAAAUAAUAUUUAUAUUUGGGUUGUUUAGUUGUAAAAGUGAAGAUCCAAGAUUAAAAUACCAAUUGGCCAAUGCCAUUCGAUUGUUUUGUUUAGAGAGCACUUGGUGCGUCAUUUGGACUCGUAUCUUAGUCCAAUAGAUUGCUUUUUAUUUCAAUGUGUAGAAUCCGACAAAGUGCAUGUUCUAAAAUUGUAAAUCUAACUAAAUUAGAAAGCUUGUUACUAAUUCGAUGGUUUAUUACGUGUAGCUCAUAAAACUAGAACCAACAUAGGCUGCACUCACAUGUCAUAGAAAAUAGGAGUAUCCAAGCACAAUUUGUGUGAGCAUCCAUGACACAAAUCAUAUAUAGACUGAUACAAUUAAUUCCUUCAAGAAUAAAAAAGGAAAAAAUAAAGUGUUUUUGGAUACUGCUGGAUAUCUCCUUUAGCUAAUCAUGAGUACUAAAAAGAUGUUGCACUUUUGGGUGGCGAGAAUUCCUCAAUCAUAACUUUGACAUAAUUUUAAUCCAGAUCACAUAUAUAUAUCAUCAUAUCUUAAUUAUUAAAUUAAUAUGGUAUGCAUCAUUGGAUUAUUAACUCAAUCCGGUAUAACCAUCGGAUCUUAAUUAUUAGAUUAAUCUGAAGCGUACAUUAGAUUAUCAAACCAAAUCAACCCGAUAUAACCAUCGAAUGUUCCUCUAUGCACCUUAAGCGCAUGGUCUCAGGCUUAAUCAUCCGGAAUAACCAUCUAAUCUUCUGGUAAGCAUAGUAAGUGUAUGGUUCACGGUUUCGUCAUUCGGAAUAACCAUCAGAUUUUCCAAUAUGCACUGAAAGUGUAUGAUCCGGGGUUUUGGCAGGCGAAACGUUGUUACGUGAUUGUGAAUGCUAGCUGCAGUUGCACGUGUGAUCUACUGUGUGGAAGCUGCUGGGUCCUCGUCUGUUGCGUGUGGCUUGUGGCGGGCUUGGACUGCUCUCAUGGCUUCGGUGCUUGGUGCUGCUCGUUCGUCCGGUCCUACGUGCAUCUCUCUCUCCUGGUUGGAGGCGUGGUGGCCUGGCGGUUUCUCUAUGUUUUUCUUUUUGCUACGGCUUCUCGUGUUGGCUUGGCUUGGCGUCAGGGUCCCGGUCAGCUAUGCUCCCUCAGCUUUUAUAGGUACGCAGCACAACAGGCAGAGCAGAGAUAAAGAUUCCAACGGCAUCCAUCUACAAACAAGGCUCUCGGCAGAAGGGAUAAAAGCAUGCAGCGCAAUUGUCGCUGCCUUGCUGGAGCCUUGACUCUCGUCAAUUGGUUGAUCAAAAGUGGCCACUGUCUAAGCUAUUUUCUUUGUGCACCUGUUUGUUUGUAUCGAACACAAAAUUGUAGGUGCAUGUUUGUCACCAAUUAUCCUCUACUACAAAGAACUACAAUAGUGAUGGAGGAUCCGAUCCGGCACAAAUCCACUAUAAUGCAUAGUGGGUGAUGCAUGCCUAAUGGUGGUUGUUUAGUAUUAGUUUGGGCAUGUUAAAACUAAGCAAUUGUCGAUGUCAUACACUAGAAGUGAAGAAUGUUGUUAGCGUUAGUAGUAGAGGUGUCAAAUGGGACCGAUACCCGUUCAGCCAAGGAGAAUUUCUCUAUUAGAUUUAGGGUAUGGGAAGAUUUUAGUUUCCAUUUGCUGAUUUUAGGCAUACAUCUAUUUGAUUCAACAGUUACAAAUCAACAUAUACUCCUUCCGCUCUAGUUUGUUGCAUGUCCUACCUUUUUCCUAAAUCAGUUUUUCCUAAAAUGACAUACUCUCUAGAAAAUCUAUCCAAAUUUUGAAGAUCAAAUAUGUCCCAUUGAAUUAUUCAUAACAUAUAUCUUGGUAUUGCUUUUUGUCAUCAGAAUAUAUUUUGAACUCAGUAAAAGUUAUACACGAUUCUUUUUAGACAAUACUAAAGCAAGUUGUAAUCAAGAACACUUGAGGUGUGCGCCAAUUGCCACAUUUAGAUAUAAUCAUUCUAAUUUUGGUCAUCCUAUGUGUGUGCAUUCAUCUAUGCAUUCUAGGAUUUCAAUUAGUCUCAAUCUUGUAGUAUUUGUUCCUUCAUUGUCAAAUCACUUCUCAUCUAACUACUAUGCUUGUUUAACCAUCAGAACAUAAGUACAACAAUAUCCAUUUAUAAAGGCUUUUAUAGCAAACUUUACAUAUCAUAUUAUGUUAAGGUUGUCACAUGUGUAAAGGUGAAGAGAUCAUGCAUUUCAUUCCACGUAGAUAAAAAGAGUUCCUAUAUAAGAAUGGCACAUUUUCUUGUAGGUAGUGGAAAGUAUCUUUCCAGCAAAUACCAUAUAAUCCGAUAAAGAUGAUAACUAAAUGUCGAAAUCGAGUAGAUGCCAUAUCAUCUAUAUCUUAUCUGUUGUUUGGAAAAAAAGACAAAAUCCAACAAAAAUAUUCGAGACCUCACCUAUAUAAAUAGCUCCCAUAUCAGUAGUUAAUCCAUCACCCAUAAUAUUUUGAGCAUUCAGAAACACACCAAGCGAAGCUCACUAGCAACGACCUAACAACAAUGGCUACCAAGAUAUUAGCCCUCCUUGCGCUUCUUGCCCUUUUUGUGAGCGCAACAAAUGCGUUCAUUAUUCCACAAUGCUCACUUGCUCCUAGUGCCAUUAUUCCACAGUUCCUCCCACCAGUUACUUCAAUGGGCUUCGAACACCUAGCUGUGCAAGCCUACAUGCUACAACAAGCGCUUGCGGCGAGCGUCUUACAACAACCAAUUGACCAAUUGCAACAACAAUCCUUGGCACAUCUAACCAUACAAACCAUCGCAACGCAACAGCAACAACAGUUCCUACCAGCACUGAGCCAACUAGCUGUGGUGAACCCUAUCGCCUACUUGCAAUAGCAGAUGCUUGCAUCCAACCCACUUGCUCUGGCAAAUGUAGCUACAUACCAACAACAACAAUUGCAACAGUUUCUACCAGCGCUUAGUCAACUAGCCAUGGUGAACCCUGCCGCCUACCUACAACAGCAACAACUGCUUUCAUCUAGCCCUCUCGCUAUGGUUAAUGCACCUACAUACCUGCAACAACAGUUGUUGCAACAGAUUGUACCAGCUCUG
rnacentral:lncRNA from 1 species